CCAGAAGACAGCGUUUUAUUUGGUGGGGGUGAAGUUUUAGUACAGGAAUUGCUCGGUUUGAAAUAUUUAGAGGUAUUGGAGUUGACCUUGGGAAGUUAUCAUGCUCUCCAAAUUCUUUUGAGCUCAAAUAAGUUAAAAAGUUGUAUUCGAUCUCUUUACCUCGAGUUGACCGGAGAUACAGCGUCAAUUAUUGAUGCUACGGCUUUCGCAGAUCUAAACCACCUCAAUGAAUUAUAUAUUUUUAAAGGUAUUGAGUUGGAAGAAUUGAAGAUUGAUUAUACGGAGAUAGUACGAAAAAGGCGGGAACCUUUUGUUUUCCGCAGCCUUCACUGUGUUAUUAUGGUUUCGUGCCGUAAAUUGAAAGAUGUGACAUUCCUCGUUUUUGCUCCAAACCUCAAGUCUCUUUUGGUAGACGGUUGCGAUGCUAUGGAAGAAAUAAUCAGCGUCGGAAAAUUUGCUGAGACUCCUGAGAUGAUGGGACAUAUAAGCCCUUUUGAAAAUCUCCAAAUGCUUGAUUUAACGGCAUUGCCGGAGUUGAAGAGCAUCUACUGGAAGCCAUUGCCUUUCACUCAUCUGAAAGAAAUGGAGGUACUUAGGUGCGAUCGGCUUGAAAAGCUUCCACUCGAUUCCAACAGUUCAAAGGAGCGUAAAUUUGUUAUUUGUGGAUACACAAAGUGGUGGAACCGACUUCAAUGGGAGGAUGAAGCCACUCAAAUUGCUUUUCGUUCCUGUUUCCAACCAAUGGGAGUACUGAGCGGUGGUCGCAAAAUUUGAUUUCUGGUGAGUGCGUUUUUGUUAACGCUUAUGUUUUUAUUCCAGUGUGUUUUUCUUCUGUCUUCUGCAAAUCAAUGCUUUAUAAAUUUUCCUUUUCCCUUUUUUUUUGGGGGGGGGGGGGGGGGCGUGGGUCGAAUUGAUGCUCUGGUUUUUUACUUUUUGUUGUCAAAUUUGGCCUUUUUUUUUUUUUUUUUUUUUUACAAGUUGAUACUUUAUUUAUAUCUUCUUAGCGAUUUAAUUUCCUGUCAAAAGACGAGCGAGAAGAACAUAUGACUUAAAGCAAUUGAUACUUUAUUUAUGUGCAUUGUAUGUAAUAAAUAUUAAGUAUACUUUAUUUUGCCCUGUUCUCUGUUUUUAUUUCAGUCUCUCUCUCGCUCUCUCUCUUUCCUGUCUUCUGCAAGUCAUAAUUAAAUGUUGAAUUAUAUGGAAUUAAUGCUUUAUAAAUCUGCCUGCGCUGGCUUUUUUUUUUUUUUUUGUGGGGUCGAAUUGAUGCUCUGGUUUUCGACUACUUUUUGUUGUCAAAAUUUUCUCUGUUUUUUCAAAUUUAUAUCUUAUUCGUGAAAAGUGAUUUAAUUUCCUGCCAAAAGACGAACGAGAAGAACAUUAGAGUCAAACUAAUGCUCACAUAAAUUUCCCGUAAGAAUAUAUAAUUAGACUGGAAUGCACACCUCUAGAUUGAACAGAAUUAAAGCUGAGAAAAUAUUGAGUAUAGUAGCCCUCUUUACAGAAAAUGACGCGAAAGUUAAUUUAGAAAGAUAUAUUCUCGAUUAAUCCAUUUUCUGAAUUUUUUUUUUAUUUUGUAUGGUCAAUUUUUUUUUUAAAUUACAACCUCAUAGUCAUGCUAUUCAUUCACUCACAGACCAAAGGCUUUCCGCAGCAAUAUUAUUAUUUAAAUUACAACAAAGGGGGAAUCAAAUACGUCAUACAGAAGCUUAAAGCUGAAUCUACAAGAUCUAGAGCUCUCAAGAUGAAGCUUGUUCAAUAUCUCAUCCAAAGCUUGUAAAGUAACCUUGUAACGAUCUUGAGAUUGCCUGCCUUCCUCGACGACCUGCACGAUGCGUUUGUACAAAUCAUCAUACUUGUGCACUGGAUUUUUAAUAUCAACGCCACUGCAGCUGUGAUCAAGAACAUGAGAGCGUUUAACAUCUUUUCUCCAUCAAGAAAGAACGUAGUGAGAUGGGAUCUCCUGCAUGCCACUCUGGUUUAGAACACAAAGAAUGUGUCUGCAUAAAUAUCCUCUGAAAUUGAACAACCCACAAACACAAAGCAUCUCCAAGUCAGAGGCAUUGUACAAAACAUCGAAAGCCCUUGAAUCUUUCUCGUUGCUACCAACCUCAAAUUCUUCCUUCACUAUGUAUGUUAUAGGUCCAUCAGCACUGACAUGUUUUGUGCUAUAGCAAAGAGUACAUAGCCUCCACCUCCAUCUGAAACUUCCUUAACAUUUCAUUUGUGUACAGUUUUGAGAGUUGAAAUUCAUAGUAACAUAUUGGUUUCUGGAUACAACUUGAAUUUCUUGAAUCCAUAUCUGCCAAGGCUUGCAGUUGAUAAUUGGCCCGCAGUGCUUGAUCAUACUUGUCUAAGAAUUCUUUCAAAGGAGUAUUCUUAUCAAGAUAUCCUUCAAAGUAUGAAGUAGAAACCUCAUUCUGCAGUAACGAAAACACUCCUGAUAAAAAAGCUUCCUUCAAAUAAAUAGGAGCCCACCUUUUACGAUCUUCAUAUAAAGUUUGAAUCCAUCCGUGAUCCUUUAUUCCAUGACGUUGAAUCAUGUCUUCCCAAGCUGCUUCAAAUUUCUCAGGCCUGAGAGAGUGAUAAAUUGCUCUAUGUAAUGCAGCUUUAAUAGCUUCAUAUUCAAACAAUCCUUGGAGUUUCUCUGGAAUUUUUUGCAUGACGCUUUCCUUCAAUGAUAAGACAAUGAACAUAAACGAGACACAAAAAAAAUUAUUUUAAACUGACAGCCCAUGAUAUAAAUCAAACAAAAUCAACUCCUUUUUUUACACAUCACAUCUCAUAUUCAUUUGCAUUGAAGCACAAAAAGGAAGCAGGAGUGGGAAAAAAAAAACAACAGCAGAGGAACUUAUUUCCAUAAGGUUUAGGAAAUAAGGAAUUUAUUAAGACACAAAAUUUGAGGUUACCAAUAAGAAUUUGGUUCUCAUUAUUUUUUUCUUCAUUUUUCACCAAUUGAUGAACUUAAAAUACAAUCAUCAAUGAUAAAACCCCAUCUCCAUCUUUUUGAACUAGAGCUAAAGCAAAGCAUUUUAAGAUGUUUCAUCAUUUUUUUUAAUAAAAAAAAACCUCAAUAGUACAAUGUUUUUCAAUGUUAAAUGCACAACUCAAUCCUCUCCUAAUUUACUCUAAUAAUCUCUUAAUUAAGGAAGAUUAAGCUUCAGUUGUAAGCUAAAACAAAUUUCUUAAAUCAAGCCCCAAUGCUUUAUGCUAUUCAACAAGGGCUCAUAAAUGAUAAAACUACUUCUACAAAGAUACCCAUUUUCUAAAUUAAUUUCAAAAACUGAAAUCAAACUCCUGAAACGUAACGAGCAUUAAUAUAAUCAAACCCGAACAGGAAUUGAAAAAUGACACAUAAACUCGUUUACACAUUUCGACAGACACUUUGCAAUCAAUGAGCAAAAAAUUAAUGGAGAAGAUAAAAUUCAAACGAAACAUGCCUUACAUUGAUAAAUUAGAAGGGCAAAAGAAAUUUUAGUACGAUAUGGGAUCAGGGUCUUGCCACGGUGAUGUUAUUUGUGAUGUUCGAGCGACUCAGCAGCCUUCGAGGUUGAAAAUUUGAUUGACCGAAAGCUUCCCGUUCGUUGAUUCUCUAAUAGCAGAAACGAGACUGGCAGUAUACACAAGAAGUUCGCUGAUUUUAAAUUCCGUUGUUUGAGAUGGAAAUUUUUUUGAAAAAAUUAAUGUGUUCGAUGAAUAUCAAAAUCUCAAAAACUUUUUGUUUCUCAUAGCACCCAUGCAUGAUGUGUUGUUUCUCUAAAAGUUUGAGACACAAAUGUUAUUUCAAAUUGAAACGCCAUGCACUAGUAGUAGACUAGUAGGUAGGAGAAACCAAGGUUGAAGUUACUGUUCAUUUAUUUUUAUUUAUGAUUUUUUGUAAAAUGUAAGAAAUAUGUAGAAAUGUUGCCAGCAAUGAUUUUGGAACUUUGCAUAAAAUUUUUAUCAUUAUUGUUUUUGGUAUUAAGAAAUCCGAGGCGGUGAUUAGACGUAUGUUGCAACAAUUAAGAAAUUUCUUAUUGGAGAUAAUUUGGUAGGUUGCAACAAUUAGAGAAUCAUUUUCCUGUCAGUUAAUCAAUCAAUAAUAAAUUUCAAAUUGCAGAAAAUAAAAUAAUACUGUCACACUUAGAAUCAUCUUUUCUAUCUCUUUCAAUUGUGGCAAUCAUUUGUAACAAAUAAAUCAAUUUGAUGCACAUCAUUUCCCCAAUUCAAAGUUCAAGUCACUGCUCAAUUGCAGAGUAGUUAGUAGACAUGCAUGCAUGUUUAAUUAAGUACUGCAUUGUAGUAUCGAAAAUCAUAAUAUCUCACCAAGCCCGGAAGCAUAGCUCUUUAUCUUGUAAACGUUGAAAUCUUAUGCAAACUAUGGGAAACAUGAUCUCACUCUCAGUGUCACUUGAUUCCAUUUUCUGUUCUUGCCUUGAUUUCGAUGUUGGGAAUGUGACGUCUGAGUCCAAGGUUGAAGAUAAUCUCGAUGCCUUGCGGACUGCAAUGGAAAAAUAAGCGGAAACGAGAAAUGAUGUGAUAAGAAGAGUUACUGUUGCUGAAGGACAACAUCAAAUGCAACGAAUGGAUCGAGUGCAGGGCUGGCUUUCAAGGGUAAAAGCUGUGGAAAAUAAAGCUGAUGAUUUGAUGAGACACAGCUCUCAAGAGAUUGAGAAGUUAUGCCUUGGAGGCUUCUGUUCCAAGAACUGCAAAUGAAGCCACAGCCGUGGGAUAGAAGCUGCUACAAUGCUACGAGUUGUGGAGACUUUAAUGGGUGAAGGAUCAUUUGAAUUGGUGGCUGAGAGGGUGCCAGAAGAUGCAGCAGACUGAGCAGAGGAGAUAAAUUGUGAGUCAACAAUAAUGGGCAUGGUGUCGACUUUUGAGAAAGCCUGGAGAUGCCUUGAAGAAGAAUCAGUUGGAAUUAUUGGCCUAUAUGUCAAUGGGAGAGUUGGAAAUAUUUACUCAAAUCAACAACAAGUUCCUUGAUAGUCCAAAUAAUUUUGAUGUUGCAAUCUGGGUAGUGGUCUGCCAAGAUUUGCAACCCCAGAAGUUUCGGGAAAAGAUUGGGAAAAAGAAAGGCUUGUUCGAUGAGUCAUGGAAGAACUGAAGUUUUGAAGAGAAAGCACUCGAUAUAUUCAAGAAUUUAAGCAAGAUGAAGUUUGUAUUACUGCUGGAUGAUAUAUGGGAGCAGGUUGAUUUAAUUAAAAUUGGUGUCCCUCUUCCAAGCACAAAAAUUACAUUCAAGAUAGUCUUCACAACUCCUUCUAUUACAUUUGUGGCCUCAUGGAAGCUCACAACAAGAUUAAAGUGAAGUGUUUAAAUGACGAAGAAGCAUGGGAAUUAUUCUGCAAGAAGGUUGGAGAAGAUGUGGCGACUCUGUACAAGUGCUAAGGAGCUCAGCCUCAGAAUUUCUAGGUAUGUAAAAACAAGUAUAUCCUCUUUUGAAAUUCAGUUAUGAUAAUUUACCUAGCGAUAAAAUUAGAUCGAGUCUGUUAUACUGUAGUUUGUUCCCAGAAGACUUUCCAAUUAGCAAAAUGGAAUUGAUACUGAGAUACGAAAUCAAGGAUACUACAUUAUUGGUGUUCUUGUUCCUUUAUGUUUAUUGGAAGAAGAGGCUCCACUGUUUGUAAAAGUGCAUGAGGUGAUACGCGAUAUGCUUCUGUGGAUAGCAUGUGAAAUUUUAUUUUUAUUUUUUUAUAGGGAUAUCAUGUGAAGUUGAGAAGGAGAGAGAGAAUUUUUUGGUUCGUGCAGGUGCAAGGAUUAACUGAAGUACUAGACAUUUGGAAAUGGGAAGGGUUGAGAAGGGUGUCUUUGAUGAUCAACAAAACUGAGAAGGUAUCAGAAAUUCCUUCAUCUCACGAUCCACUAACUUUGUUGCUUCAACAUAAUUAUUUAGAGGUGAUCAAUAAUGACUUCUUCCAAUCUAUGCAUUCCCUUAGAGUUUUGAACUUAUCAUGUAAUCAUUCUCUAACUGAUCAUUUCAAAGUUAGUUUCCCUACAUACGAGAGUUGCCGAAUGAGUUAACGUUCGUAGUGAAUCUUAAGUUUUUGAAUGUGGAGUCUGCACGGUUUCUUCAUUCAAUUCCAGGGCAAGUGAUAUCCAGUUUUACGAUGUUACAAGUUUUGAAGAUGUUUGGUUGUGGCAGGUCAUCUUCUGAUCGUGAGCCACACCAGAAGAUAGCGUUUUAUUUGGAGGCAGUGAACUUUUGAUUGCGGAGUUGUUUGGUUUGAGAGACAUUUAGAUGUGUUGACCAUCAUCCUAAGAAGCUCCCAUGCUCUGAAAAGAUUUUUGAGCUCCAACAAACUUCAAAGUUGUACUCAAUCUCUCUAUCCUAAAUGCUUUGAUUCGAAGUCAGUUGAUGUUUUUUGCCUGGCUGAUCUGAAGCAUCUCAAUAGGCUAUAGAUAUUGCGAGUUGUAAGCUUUUGGAAGAAGUGAAGAUUGACUUUGUUGGGAAAGCACAAAUGAACUCAUGGUUUUCACAGCCUUAUGUCACGGAAGUUGUGUAAACACUGCACGGGUUGCUGCGCAAAGUAACCAUCCUAUGACAUUGAGCCAUGUUGAAAUAUCAUUUUGCUGUAAACUGAGGGAUUUGACAUAGCUUGCUUUUGCUCCAGACCUUCUUGUUGUUUCCAGAAAGCAUUGCCAUGAUAUAGAGGAAAUACUCGGUGUUGGAAAAUUAGGUAAAGAGAUGAUGUCAAACCUGGAACCCCCUAUAAAACUCCUAAGGUUAUGUCUGGCAUGUAGGAUUGGAUUGAACUAAAUUAUUAGGACUGGAUUAAAUUGGGUUAUAUUUAUAUUCUUAUGUUUGGUACAGUACUGGAUUGAACUAUAUUAGAUUAUAUUUAAAUAAUAUUAAAUAGUAUUUAAGUUGGUAUUUUAAUAUAAAUAUCAAUUAUCCAUGAAAUUUUAUAAUCAUAAUUAAAAUAAAUUUAAAAAGCAAUUACUAGAAAAAUUAAAUAUAUUACAAAAAGUUAUUGGGUAGUCAUAAUAUAAUAAGCAAAUAAAAUUAAAUAAAACAAAUUAAAUAUUUAAUUAAUUUUUAUCAAAUAUUUAAAAAUAUUAUAUAAAAUCAAUUAAUUAAUGGUUUUAUUAAUUUUCAUGAUUAUUUUUAAUAUUACAUUAGUAAUUAUUAAAUUUAAUACAAUCAAAUAAUGCAAUAAAUAAUUAAACGUUUAAUUUUAUCGAUUAAUUAUUAAAUAUACAAGUAAUGAAAAUUUAAUCUCAGGAGUUGGCAGAAGCAAAAGUACUAAUUUAAUUAGAUCAUAGAUAAUAAAUAAAAAUUAAUUUUAAGUAAAUCAUAAUAAAAAAAUUAAUUAAUUGAUUCAAUCAAUCAAUAUUAGGUGUAAAUAAAAAAAGAGUAAUGAUAUAGCCACAAAUUCUUGUACAAACUUAUUUUGUACAAACUCAUGUGUCAUGAUAAGAUUAGUUGAAUUAAAUAUCACUUGGCCCACAUGAUUUGUUUUUAUUAUUUUAUAUUUUUAUUCAACCAAUGAAUUAACGCCACGUCAGUUUGUACAAGAGUUUGUGGUUGUAUCAUCACUCAUAAAAAAAAAGAUACAAAUAAAAAUCUCAUAAAUGGACAACUUUUAUCUUUAAUCUUAUCCCAACUAAACACAUGUGUGAAUUAAGAUUAUUAAUCCCAUGAUUUUAGGAUUAAAUUCAAAUUAAUUCCCCCUUAAUCCAAUCCAACUAAACUUGUCAAACAUGGGAUAAAAGUUUAAUUCUAAAAUUAGUCCAAUUCCAUACUUAAUCCUAGCAUCCACAUAUAGCCCAAGUUGUUUGCUUAAAGAAGCUACCAAAUUUGAAGAGCGUUUACGGGAAGGCCUUGCGUUUCCCAGAUGUAUGCAGAAUUUUUGUAUCCAAAUGCCCAGAACUUAAGAAGCUGACGCUGGAUUUUGAAAGGGCGGGCCAAGGUAAAAUUCUUAUCAAGUGAAAGGAAAAUCGGUGGAAACAACUUCAAUGGAAGGAUCAAGCAACUCAGGAUGCAUUGCUUCUGUUUUUCAAAUCAACUGACAAGUGAUUGAAGGGGGCAUCAUCAGCCUGGAUGGGGAGAUCCUGGAGCAGAUCAGCAGGGUUUGAAUCUGCAUCAUCAACAUCAUCAGGAUCUCUAUUUCUAUUGCUGGUCGUAAUGCCUGCCUACUGUUACUUGAAAAAGUGAUUAAGUGAGCCAGUUUUUUGUUUAUUAAAUUUUGUCUUGUAGAGACAGUCACAAAGUAUUUUUCUUAGUUGUUCUAUAUGAGAGUGAUGUGAAUCAAUUUUUCAAUUAUAUAUUCUGUGGGAAAUUGCAAGUAUUUUUAAAAUAUGAUCGUUAUUAAAGGAAACAAAGGAAUCAACACAGCAUACUGAACCUCAGCAGUAUGAAGCUAAUGAUUAAACUCCUCACACAAUUCAUAACAUGCAAAACCAUUCACAAAAUCAUCCCCAGCAACCAUAAUUGGCGUCCAAUAGAAAUUUACAAGAAUUACUUUUCUGUUCAUGCAAUCGGCGUCCGAAUGCGGCUGAUCGGUCACCGGUGUUGGCGUUUACUGUGAUUAGACAAAUUGUAGGAAUUCAAAAAUAACUUCUAUAGGGGUAAUUUCGAUUUCACAUAAUUAAUUUUAUUUACAAUAUUUUAUUCCUGCUAGAUCAAUUGAGAUUCUUUCCACCGGGCACACCCUUCAUGUUCUUUUAUUUUCUGUCUUUUAUUAGCCGUAGGAUUUUACUACUCUUAUAUCCAACGGCUUGCCACAACAAGACAAAUGAGGUGGUACCUUCCAACCGCUGAAAGGUCGUUUUGGCCCCAGGUGAAAGAGGGAAAUAGGGAAUUGAUGCUAUAUUUUAUAUUUUCUAUUUUACUACUCUUGUAUCCACCGGCCUUUCUUAUAUUUUAUUGCAAAUUGAUGCUAACAAGAAAAAGCUACAUCAUAUUCCACAAAAAACAAAAGUGACAAAACAACCAGUUGGAUUCUUUUAUUAAACUACAAAUUAAAUGGACUUUUUUUUAAUAAACUAUAUAUGAAAGUAGAAUCUUUUGAAUAUAAGUGGGGUAGACUUCCUUUCCAAAACAAAAAAUGCGGGGUAGGCUCUUUUAUUAAAGACAAGUCACAAGACGAUUAGAGUCUUUUAUUAAACUGCAAAUUGUAUAGUCUUUUUCAAAUUGUACAGACAUUUAUAAAUUGGUGGCCCCUUGGAAAUUUAAUGCCAAGCAGAGAAAAGUCAUCAUGCACAAUCCUCAAUAAUUGUUUCGAUAUUUAUAAAUUGGUGGCCCCAACGAAUAAUUGGGAUCGGUUAUGGUGCAAUUAUAGAACCAUGGCACAGUUGCAUCCAGCCGUUAAAUGCACUUAGAUUGGUGAGGUUUAUUGGCAUCUAAUGGCUGAAUGUAACUAUAAUACGGUACUACAGUUACAACACAAGUUUCCACCAAUAAUUGUUCCGAUAAUUAUAAAUUGGUGGCCCCUUGAUAAUUUAACAGCAGCCUGCAAGUGCCAACCAGUGAAAAGUCAUCAUUCACAAUCUUCCAAGUGAAAUAGGAGAUAUACAAAAUAAUAAAAAAAAAACAUGUCAAUUCUUUUUUUUUUUAUUCAUUCCCUUUCAUGUUCUUGAUAAGGGAGGGAGGACGUGACAUGUAAUGUAACUUACACCCAAAUACAUAAAUAAUAUAAAAUGAAUGGAUAGAUGCCCGAGCAGAUCGGCAGGGUUCGAAUAUGACCUUUGGUGCUUGCUUUUUUUUUUUGUGAUUUUGUUUUUCAUUUUUUCCUUCCUGUCAUUUUAUCAUUUCUUUGGCUUUGUCUCUAUUGCGGGUGUUACUGCAUGCUUACUGUUGCUUGACAAAGUUUGCUAGCUGAAAGAAACUUAGUUCUAUAUUGUUUGGUAGGCUAGAAAAUGAAAGGAAAUAAAAGAAAAGCUUUGCAAAGAAAUCUGUUGGAUCUUUUAUUAUUCCAAACUUACAGUUUAAUGACUACUAAUUGAUAUUUAUAUUGAGCUACAAUCUCUUAACAUACACACGAGAUUGUUGCAACACAUAACCAUUUGCUGUAUAACUAACUUGACACAUCAGCUCAACCAGCUAACUAACUUUGACAGGUCAGCUUAAUGAUUUGAUCUGCUACAACCAGCUACACAACACAUCAUGCUCUGCUCCAGCUACACAGCAACAUCAUGCUCUGCUCCAGCUUCAUCUAAUUCACUAACAUCCCCCUUCAAGCUGAAAUGUUUAGGAUGAACAUUCAGCUUGCUGCGGAAGUAACUAAAUUGUUUGAAAGUAAGAGCUUUAGUCAACACAUCUGCAGUUUGAUCUUGACUAGGCACAUAACAGACUGCAACUUCUUUAGCAGUAACUUUAUCUCGGAUGAAAUGGAUAUCCAAUUCAACAUGCUUAGUUUUAGCAUGAUAGACUGGAUUAUAAGCUAAAGCAAUGGCUCCUUGAUUAUCACACCACAUCAUAGGAGUAGAGCUCAAUUUGAUGCUAAGUUCACCAAGUAAAGACUUGAUCCAGGUAACCUCUGAAGCAGCAUGAGCAAGAGAUCUAUACUCAGCCUCUGUGCUGAAUCUGGAAACAACAGCUUGCUUCUUGGACGACCAAGAGACAAGAUUAGGACCUAGAUAAACAGCAAAGCCAGCUACUGACUUCCUAUCAUCAUGAUCACAAGCCCAAUCAGAGUCUGAAAAACAAUGGAGUUGCAGAGCUCCUUGGUUGUAGAAUUGCAGCCUAAGAUGGAUAGUACCUUUUAAGUACCUCAAUAACCUUUUACAUGCUUCCCAAUGUUGAGUCCUAGGAUUGGAAAGGAACUGACUCAACUUAUUGACAUAAAAAGCAAUGUCAGGUCUGGUAAGAGUAACAUACUGAAGAGCUCCUAUAACACUUCUGUAUUGAGAAACAUUGUCAAUUGGCUCCCAUGAGUCUUUGGUGAGAUAAUAACCUGUAGACAUUGGAGUUGGCACAGGACUGCAAUCAAUCAUGCCAUGUUUGUCCAGAACAUCAGCAAUAUACUUUGCUUGUGUCAAGGAAACCCCUUUUGAAGACUUGCUGACUUCAAUCCCCAAAAAAUAGUGAAGUUCCCCUAAAUCCUUUAAAGCAAAAGUCUGAUGCAUAUUCUGAAUAGCUUGCUGAAUCAAUGAUGGACUGGAACCAGUGAUGAUAAUAUCAUCAACAUAGACUAAAACAAUAGUUAUAUGACCACUGUUCCAGGCAUAAAAAAGAGAGUUAUCAGACCUUGAAUGCUGAAAAUGCCACUGGGAGAUCAUUGCAUCCUUAAAUCUAUCAAACCAGGCUCUAGGAGCCUGUUUUAAACCAUACAAAGCCUUAUUCAGCUUGCAAACAUGAUUAAGUUUAGUUGAAUCAACAAAACCUUGAGGUUGAGCCAUGUACACAUCUUCAAUUAAAAUGCCAUUGAGGAAUGCAUUAUUAACAUCCACCUGCCUAAUAACCCAGUGGUUCAAUAUUGCUAAGCUAAGAAUAACUCUGAUAGUUGAAGAUUUAACCACUGGACUGAAGGUUUCUGUGUAGUCAACCCCAUGUGUCUAAUGAAACCCCUUAGCAACAAGCCUGGCUUUAUACCUUGAAACCGAGCCAUCUGAGUUAUACUUAAUUCGAAACACCCACUUGUUACCAACUAUCUUCACUGGAGUAGCAGGUAAAACCAAAUCCCAGGUGUGAUUAGUUUUAAGUGCUAGAUACUCUUCUUGCAUAGCUUUAUACCACAUAGGAUCAGAGAGUGCUUUGGAAACAGAAGUUGGUUCUGAUUGCUGGGCUAACAAGGCUGACAAAUAAACUUUUGGCUUAAAAAUACCUGCUUUUGAUCUGGUUACCAUUGGAUGACCAGAUGGUGCAUGUUGUGGUAAUGUAUGUGGAGGUGAGGAAUGGGAAGAUGAGAAAGGAGAAACUGAGUUGGAAUUAUCAGAAAAAUAAACUGGAGUAGAGUUUGGGAAUGAAAUAGAAGCAUUAGACUGAUGAUCAGUAGGUUGAGGUGCUGAUGAUGCUGCUAAAGGUGCUUGUAACUGAGUAACAGAAGAAGUAGAAGACUUAAAAGAAGACUCAGAGUGUGAUGUAGACUGACAGCUUAAAGAGGUUGAAGAAAACUCUACCCCAGACUCAUAAGGAAAGGAAUUUUCAUCAAAGGUGACAUAAUUGGAAAUAUACACCCUUCCAGAAGAGUGAAGACACAUAUAUCCCUUGUGUUGUGAACUGUAGCCAAUGAAUAUACAUCUAGCAGUUCUGAAAUCAAACUUAUAUCUAUUGUAUGGUCUGAGUGUUGGAUAACAAGCACAGCCGAAAGUUUUAAGUGUUGAAUAAUCUGGUUGAUAAUGAAACAACUUUUGGAAAGGAGAAAUGUUAUUUAGAACUGGAGUUGGAAGUCUGUUUAUCAAAUAGACAGCUGUGUGGAAUGCAUUCCACCAAAAUUUGAGUGGUAAAUGUGCUUGAGCUAAUAAAGUCAGACCUACAUCAACUAUGUGUCUAUGCUUCCUCUCAAUUCUUCCAUUUUGGUGAUGAAUAUGUGGGCAAGGGUGUCUAAAAUGGAUACCAGAAGUAGUGAGUAAUGAGGAAAAAGAUCUGAACUCCCCUCCCCAGUCAGUUUGGACAGUUUUGAUGGAAAGUUGAAGAUGCUUUUCAAUGAAUGUUUUGAAAUUUUUAAAAACUUCAAGAGCAUCAGAUUUUGCUGAUAAAGGGAAUAUCCAGGUAAACCUACUAUAAUCAUCUAGGAUUCACAGGUAGUAGUUAUAUCCUUGGGUAGAACAAACAUGAGAAGGACCCCACAGAUCUGCAUAUAUUAGUUGUAAAGGUUCUGAAGUUUUUGUUUCAACUGAAUCAAAAUGCAGCAUAUGAUUUUUCCCAUAUUGACAUGCAUAACAAAAUUUCAAACUUUCAACUUUAUUAAGAGCAGUAAAGUUGUUACAAGCUUUGAGUAUGGUUUUGAGAGUAUAAGGAGCUGGGUGUCCUAAUCUUCUAUGUAGAAGAUUUACAUAAGUUAAACCCUUUGCAACAACUGACAGACAUGACUUUUUAUUCAGCUCAUAAGAACUAACAGCAGAAGGCUUAUCAGAAGUAAAAACAGGAGAACAAGCAAAAAGAGACUGAAUUUUUUUUUUACCAACUGAACUGAGAAAAACUGAGUGAGCAGCAGCUUGUGAAGAGACUCUAUACAAGCCACCUUUAGCAACACCUUCAUGUAAAAUUUUCCCUGUGUUCCUGGCCUUUAUAAAACAGAAAUCACCAAGAAAUUCAACAGUAACUGGAUUGUCAGCCAAUAAUUUGGAAAUGCUAAGUAAAUUCUUAGUAAUAAAGGGAAUAUGAAGAACAUGGUUAAGAAAUAAAGAUUGAGAAUUUGAAGUGUUCAGCACAACUGAUCCUAUAUGUGUAACAGCUAAUGCAUUUCCAUCCCCAACAAAUAACUUCUCAGUACCAGUAUAAGCUUGUGAAUCUAGAAGUUUACCUAGAUCAUUAGUAAUGUGAUUUGUGGCUCCACUGUCAAUGUACCAGGAAAGAUCUUCAAUGUGUUCUGGAAGUGAAGAAGACAUAGUUGAGGAAGAUGAAGCACUUGACUGUCCAGGAUUAUUGUUUCCUUGACCAGCAACAAAAUUAGAUGAUCCAGGAGUGAAAGAGUAAUAGGCAGAAGGAUUGUUAUCUGGAUACACUAUAUUUCCUUGAUAACCAAAACCCCUGGGUGCAUGACCAAAACUAGCAUUUUGUCCAAAACCAGCAUUUGAACCAAAACUUCUUCCACUAUUACCAUUAUAGACUCUUCCUCUACCAUAUUGCCCUUGAUUAAAACCUCUGUCACCAUUCAUAUUGCCUCUACCAUGAUUCCUCUGUGGAACAUAAGAUGAGUUGUACCUAUUCCUGCAUCUAUUUGCUGCAUGACCAGGUAUGAAGCAAAUUUGACAAACAACUUCAGAGGAAUUACUACCAGUAUUAAACUGACCAUAUCCAUAUCCAUUAAAACCUCCAUAUCCAGAAUUAUUACCACCUCCAUAGUUAUUUCCAUAAUUUUUCUGAAAAUUUCCAUUAUUCUUUCUAGCAUAUGAGUUCUUCUGAGCAAUAUUUGCUGUCAUGUUAUGCAUCACAUCACCAGCAAUUUUCCCUUUCUUUUGCUCAACUCUAUUUUCAUGAUUCAACAACAAAGAAUAUAGUUCAUCUAAUGUGAUCUUUUCACCUCGAGCUAACACAGCUGUGACUAAAGACUCAUAGUCUGAUGAAUCAAGACCAGUUAAUAUAUGCAUCACAAGAUCAUUUAACUCAAUAGGUUUUCCAGCUAGAGCUAAAGUAUCAGCUAUGCGUUUUACUUUUACAAAAUAAUCAGACAUAUGCAUUGCACCUUUCUUAAUAGUUUGAAUCUGCAUUCUAAGUGUUUGAAUUCUAGCUUGUGAUUGAGAGAUAAACAUACUAGCAAGAGUCUCCCAAAGCUGUUUUGAAGUUGUAGAAUCAAUCACAGUAGCAAGCAGAUUUUGCUGUAUCGAUGACAUCAUCCAACUCAGUAAGAGUUGGUCAGUCUUCAUCCAAGCUACGAAUUCUGGAUUAAUAGAUCUGGAUCCAGAUUCAGUUAAAACUUCAGCUCCAUUGUUGUUUCCAGAAGAAAGAAACUGCUCAGGACAUUCUCGAUCGCCAUUGAUAAAUCCUUCCAAACCGUUUCCUUUGAUUGAAGUUAAAAUUUGUGUGCGCAACAGAAUGAAGUUGUUUUGAUCUAGCUUUACUGGCGUAACAAAACUGAAAGAGUUGUUGUUUUGAACUAUAUUUGCCAUUUAUGGCUCUGAUACCAUGAAAGAAACUUAGUUCUAUAUUGUUUGGUAGGCUAGAAAAUGAAAGGAAAUAAAAGAAAAGCUUUGCAAAGAAAUCUGUUAGAUCUUUUAUUAUUCCAAACUUACAGUUUAAUGACUACUAAUUGAUAUUUAUAUUGAGCUACAAUCUCUUAACAUACACACGAGAUUGUUGUAACACAACCAUUGCUGUAUAACUAACUUGACACAUCAGCUCAACCAGCUAACUAACUUUGACAGGCCAGCUUAAUGAUUUGAUCUGCUACAACCAGCUACACAGCACAUCAUGCUCUGCUCCAGCUACACAGCAACAACAUGCUCUGCUCCAGCUUCAUCUAAUUCACUAACACUAGCUUUUCCUUUUGUUUAUUAAAUUUUUUUAUGGUCACAAAGUAUUACUCGUUCUAUUUGACAAUGAUGUGAAUCAAUUUUUCAAUUUUAUAUUUUGUGGUCAACGUGAAUUCAAUUUCAUUUGUCUCCUGCAAUUAUGAAAAAAUUACAGUCAUAAUAUGGGGAAACCUGUGGUGCAACUGUGGUACCAUGUCACAGUUGCAUCCAGCCGUUGGAUGCCAAUAGAUCCCACCAAUUUAAGUGCAUCCAACAGCUGGAUAUAACUAUAGCACGGUACCACAAUUACACCGUAACUUGAUCCCAUAAUAUGGAAAAGUACACCGGCAGAAACUUUGUAAAAGCUUCGGAGUGAUACGGGGAAUUCACUUACUACUAAAGACAGUUGGUGGCAACCUAAUGUCCAUCCAUCUAUUUAGUUAUUGAAGAUUAGUGGUCCAUUUGUAAAUUUCAGAUUGUCUCUCUCUCUCUCCCUCUUGAAAUAACAAUAUUUAAUAUAUCUAUUAAAUUAUUAUAAAUUUUAAUUUACUCUCGAUUUAAAAUGGAGCAUGUCGAUAAAUUUUUUUUCUUCUUAAUAAAAUUGACGUAAGUUGUGUUUACAGUAGUUUGAAGUUUGAAAUAUUUUAAAGAUUAUUAUUCUAUAAGGGAGUAAUAUGAACUGAAAUUUACUUUUCAUGUGUGAAAUGAAAAACGACGAAGCAAGUGUCCCUGCUUUUAUUUUAUUUCAAGGAGGAGUCAUCUCACAUACUUUAGCUCUUAACAUUACAUUUUUUCUGGUUACAUUUUUAUUUUUUAUUUUUUUUAACACAUGCGUGUGGGAUGCUUUUCUGUAAGCUCCUUAAUAUAUAUUUAAGACAAAUCAUGGAAGAGAUGGGAUUAUAUCAAGAUGAUCAAAGCAUGUAAAAAAAGAAAAAAGAAAAAAAAAUUAAGAAGUAAGACACUGAAAAUGGAGAAGAGAUGGAAGCAAAAGAUAUUCCAAACAAAGCAAUCUAUCCCCUUUCGAGGGCAGACUUAUCAGGUUUAAAAAAGUACAUGCUUUGGAUUGGUAGUUACAAUCAAGGGAAAAUAAAUAGGAUCCAAUGAAAUUUAAAUCUUGGAGAAAAUAAAUAAUCAUGCAGAUUUUCAAGAUUUUAAUAAGGGAUACUAAUAUCUUAUUUUGAUUAAUAACAUUCUUUCACUGUGUUAACUCAAAAAAAAUAUUAUAAUGCUUUACAAUAAAUACAAAUGUCCUAUUAAAUGAAUAUAUAAAAAAUUUAGAAUAUUAUAUAAAAUAAUUUUAAUAUAAUGCGUGAGAUAUAUUUUAUUAAUUUAAAAUGUCAUUUUACCUAAAAAAUAUGAUAAAUUGAUAAUUACAUAUUUGAAGUUAUUUCAAAUAUUAAAAAAAUUUAAUAUUAUUAGUCUUUUAGAUAGAUUAAAUUAUUUUUUAAAGAGAUAGAUUAAAUUAUUUUAAAAUACCUUAAUUGUUUUUACUUUAAACAUUACCGGCCUUUCUUUUAUUUUAUUGCAAAUUAAUGCUAACAAGAAAAAGCUAGAUCAUAUUCCACAAAAGCAAAAGUGACAAACACAGCCAGCUGGAAUCUUUUAUAAAACUACAAAUUAAAAUGGAUUUUUUUUUUUGAUAAAUUACACAUGAAAGUGGAUUCUUUUGAAUAUAAGUGGGGUAGGCUCUUUUAUUUUAUUUUUGAAUAUUGUAUAACGGGACUGUAGACUCUUUUAUUAAACUACAAAUUGUAUAGUCUUUUUAAAAUUGUUAUAAAUUAGUGGCCCCUAAAAUCCUCAACAAUUGUACCGAUAUUCACAAGUUGGUGGCCCCUACAAUUCUGUUCAGUUAAUUUAACUGUGCAAGUGCUCAUUCACAAUCUUCCAGGUCAUGCUCUUAAUAAUUUUUUUUUUUUUUUCUGCAUUCCCUUUCAUGCUCUUAAUAAUUGAAGAGCAUACUUUUCAUUUUCAAAUGUGGAGCCGCAGCUAAUGUCGUUAAUUUAAUUUGGGAUUAAAUUAGGGGACCAUUAUAUUGCAGUGUGCACUAAUUUUUGUGUUUAUCUAAACUCCUUAAAUUUAAGACAUAUUAUGGCAUAAAUAAGAAUAUAACAAUAACAAAAGAGUUAGAAAGUGUAGAGAAGAUCUUGCAGAAAUAUAAAUAAUAUCUAUUUUAAAAUAAUUUUUAAUAUUUUAUGAUCCAUUAGAUAUAUUUUAUUAUAUUAAAGUAAAUUUUAUAAUAAAUGAAAACAUACUAUUAAAAUGAAUAUAUAGAAAAUUUAGAGUAUUUUAAAUAUUAUAUAAAAUAAUUUUAAUAAAAUAUGUGAGAUAUUCAUAUUUUAUUAAUUUAAAAUACCAUUUAACCUAAAGAUUUAUUUAUGAUAAAUUAAUAAUUAUAUUUUUGAAAUUACUUCAAAUAUUAAAAAAAUUAAUAUUACUAAUCUAUUAGAUAGAUUAAAUUAUAUAUAUUAUUUUCUAUUUAUUAAAAAAUUAAAAUUAUUUUUAAUUACUAUUCAAAAAAUAUAAUGAUAAAAAAAAAUCUUAACAUCUUUAUUAAAAAUUUAAAAUUUACAUGAUCAAUUCUCUAAAUAUUUAGGGUAUAUGUGAACAUCGGUGGAGAAGCUUUAUUUAAUAUUAUUGAUUUAAAUAAUAUGUCAAUUAAAAAUGUGCGGAGAAGAAAUUUCGGUGGGUAUUUUAGUCUUUUCAGCAAUUAUCAUGAUCAGAUCAGCCUUUAGCCUUGAAACGUCGGUCAGAAAGUUUUAAAAUUAACGCUAACAAGAAAAAGCUAGGUCAUAUUCCACAAAAGCAAAAGUGACAAAACAACCAGUUGGUUUCUUUUACUAAACUACAAAUUAAAAGUGGAUUCUUUUGAAUACAAGUGGGACAGACGAUUAGGCUCUUUUUAUUAAAGGCAAGUAAAAAGUAGUCGAAUAGUCUUUUUCAAAUUCUUGUUUUAAUAUUUUUCAAAACUAGUUUUUGGUAAUUACAAUCGGGUCAUUCAUUAAUCAUUAUUCAGAGUAAUUAUGAAUUUCCCAAUUAUAAUUACUAACUGUUUUUCCUUAACCACUCGGCUCAGCCCGAGUGGCCAGGGCUGCUGCCCUCCAAGUUCGAACCCCCACAAAAGUAUUGUGGGGGUAUUUUCUUUCUCAAUUAAUUUGAGUGAAGGUAGUCUUUUCCUUUAUCCAUGAGUGAGGAGUAGACAUCCCUCGAAUAUUUGUGAGGGUUAAAAUCUGAGUAGAGCUCUAUUAGCAUUGAUGUAAGUUGAUCCCAGUAAUUGUCUGAUCUGUAAAUAUCAGGUUAAAAUCUGGGCAAAGCUCCAUUAGCAUUGAUGUAAGUUGAUCCCAGUAAUUGUCUGAUCUAUAAAUAUCAGUUAUAGUCUCAUGUAAUAUGAGUUGUAAUCUGAGCAAUAGUCUCGUGUAAUAAAAAAAAAAAAAAACUAUUUUUCCUUCAAAAGUUAGAGACUCGUGUUUGCAACUUGCAAGUGUGAAUGUGCAAUGCUCUUUGUCUAAAGGCUAGUGUUUCUAGUGGGUCCCGACUCGAGCGUGCCUAAAUCAUUUUAAAAUUUUUCCCGUAUAAUGGACAGAGGUCAUUACUAAAAUUUCUCUUCCACAGGCAAUUACAGCAGCUCCAGUUUAUCAAACUCAACCAAUUUUCUUUCUUAACAAAAUUCCAAAGAUGUGUAGCUUUUUUCAGAUCACAUGCGAUGGUGCUCUUUUCAAUCGUUGCUUGGAUUGCUUUCUUGGAAAAGCAGCAUACAUACGUAACCUCCAAGAUAAUCUUGAUGCCUUGGAGACUGAAUUGGGAAAUCUGAUCGCUAAAAAGAACGAUGUGAUGAGGAGGGUUGUCGAUGCUGAACGGCAACAAAUGAGAAGGCUGGACGGAGUGCAAGUGUGGGUUUCGAGGGUGGAUGCUUUUAAAACUGGAGCCGAUGAACUUAUCAUAGACGGCUCUGAAGAAAUUGGCAAAUUAUGUGUUGGAGGCUACUGUUCCAAGAACUGCAGGUCAAGCUACAAAUUCGGAAAACAAGUGGCUAGAAAGCUACGAGAUGUGGAGACUUUAAUCGCCGAGGGAGUUUUUGAGGCGGUGGCUACUGAGGUGGUGCCUGAGAGAGCUCCAGAGCCUGUAGCAGAUAAAAGACCCAUUGAGCCAACAAUAGUAGGCUUGCAAUCACAGCUUGAACAAGUUUGGAGAUGUCUUGUAGAAGAAUCAGUGGGAAUCAUUGGCCUAUAUGGUAUGGGCGGUGUUGGUAAAACCACACUAUUGACCCAUAUCAACAAUAAAUUUCUUGAGAGUCCCACAAACUUUGAUUGUGUGAUUUGGGUCCUAGUUUCAAAAGACCUGCGACUUGAAAAAAUUCAAGAAGAUAUUGGGAAGAAGAUAGGUUUGGUUGAUGAUUCAUGGAAGAAUAAAAGUUUUGAAGAGAAAGCUGUGGACAUCCUGCGGAGAUUAGGAGAGAAGAGAUUUGUAUUGUUGUUAGAUGAUUUAUGGGAGCGGGUUGAUUUAACAGAAGUGGGCGUUCCACUUCCCAGCGCACAAAAUACUACCUCAAAAGUCGUAUUCACAACCCGUUCCAUUGGUGUUUGUGGCAGCAUGAGAGCUAGGCCGGUUAAAGUGGCAUGCCUAUCAGAAAAGCAAGCUUGGGAACUGUUCCGCGAAAAUGUUGGGGAAGAAACUCUUGAGAGUGAUCAUGAGAUCGUUGAGCUAGCCCAAACUGUAGCCAAAGAGUGUGGUGGUUUGCCACUCGCACUUAUUACUAUUGGUCGAGCUAUGGCCAACAGAAAUACAGCUGAGGAGUGGAGACAUGCAAUUGAAGUAUUAAAAAGGUCAGCUUCGGAGUUUGCGGGUUUGGAAAAAGAUGUAUAUCCUCUUUUAAAGUUUAGUUAUGAUAGUUUGCAGAAUGAGACGAUUAGAACUUGUUUCUUAUAUUGCUGUUUGUAUGCGGAAGAUUAUGUCAUUCCUAAAUGGGACUUGAUUGAUUGUUGGAUUGGUGAGGGAUUCUUAGAGGAAUCUCACGGUUUUGGUGCAGAAAACCAAGGAUACUACAUUGUGGGCACUCUUGUUCGUGCAUGUUUAUUAGAAGAGGUGGAAGAUGAUGAAGUAAAAAUGCAUGACGUUAUUCGUGAUAUGGCUAUAUGGAUAACCUGUGAAAUUGAGAAGGAGAAGAGAAACUUUUUGGUUCGUGCAGGUGCUGGAUUAAAAGAGGCACCGGAUGUUAAAAGAUGGGAAAAUGUGAGAAGAUUGUCAUUGAUGCAAAACCAAAUUGAAACUCUGUCAGAGGUUCCCACAUGCCCUCAUCUCCAUACUCUAUUUCUUGCCUCUAAUAAUAGUUUGCAGAGGAUCACCGAUGGCUUCUUCCAACUUAUGCCUUCUCUCAAAGUUUUGAAGAUGUCAAACUGCUGGAAUUUUACUUUGAAAUUACCUUUGGCGAUGUCAGAGUUGGGUUCGUCACUAGAACUUCUUGAUAUUUCAUAUGCCAGCAUAACAGAGUUACCAGAAGAGUUAAAGUUGUUGGUAAAUCUGAAAUGUUUGAAUUUGAGGUGGACAGAUACGUUAAAUAAAAUUCCACGGCAACUAAUAUCAAUUCUUUCAUGGUUACGUGUGUUGAGAAUGUUGGGUACUGGCUGGUUCAAUUUUCUUGAAGCACCAGAAGACAGCGUUUUAUUUGGUGGGGGUGAAGUUUUGAUACAGGAAUUGCUCGGUUUGAAAUAUUUAGAGGUAUUGGAGUUGACCUUGGGAAGUUAUCAUGCUCUCCAAAUUCUUUUGAGCUCAAAUAAGUUAAAAAGUUGUAUUCGAUCUCUUUACCUCCAUUUGACCGGAGAUACAGCGUCAAUUAUUGAUGCUACGGUUUUCGCAGAUCUAAACCAACUCAAUCAAUUAUGGAUUGAUGAAGGUAUUGAGUUGGAAGAAUUGAAGAUUGAUUAUACGGAGAUAGUACGAAAAAGGCGGGAACCUUUUGUUUUCCGCAGCCUUCACUGUGUUCGUAUAGAGCAGUGCCAUAAAUUGAAAGAUGUGACAUUCCUCAUUUUUGCUCCAAACCUCAAGUCUCUUGACCUAUCCUACUGCUCUUCUAUGGAAGAAGUAAUCAGCGUCGGAAAAUUUGCUGAGACUCCUGAGAUGAUGGGACAUAUAAGCCCUUUUGAAAAUCUCCAAAGUCUUCAUUUAUCGCAAUUGCCAGCUUUGAAGAGCAUCUACUGGAAGCCAUUGCCUUUCACUCAUCUCAAAGAAAUAUCUGUGGGUUAUUGCCGUAAUCUUAAAAAGCUUCCACUCGAUUCCAACAGUGCAAAGGAGCGUAAAUUUGUAAUUCGUGGAGAAGAAGACUGGUGGAACCGACUUCAAUGGGAGGAUGAAGCCACUCAAAUUGCUUUUCGUUCCUGUUUCCAACCAAUGGGAGUACUGAGCGGUGGUCGCAAAAUUUGAUUUCUGGUGAGUGCGUUUGUCUUUUAAAAGCAGAAUUUAAAAGAAAUUUAUUCUUGUCGUUUUCUUCUCUGUUUUUAUUUGAUUUCUGGUUAGUUUCUCUCUCGCACUGCCAUUACUGUUUUAAUUUCCUGUCAAAAGACGAGCGAGAAGAACAUAUAUAUGACGUAAACCAAUUGAUAAAUAUUAAUUGCCUGUUCUCUGUUUUUAUUAAGUAUACUUUAUUUUGCCCUGUUCUCUGUUUUUAUUUCAUUCUCUCUCUCUCCCUCUCUUUCCUGUCUUCUGCAAGUCAUAAUUAAAUGUUGAAUUAUAUGGAAUUAAUGCUUUAUAAAUCUGCCUACGCUGGCUUUUUUUUUUUUUUUUGUGGGGUCGAAUUGAUGCUCUGGUUUUCGACUACUUUUUGUUGUCAAAAUUUUCUCUGUUUUUUCAAAUUGAUGCUUUAUUUAUAUCUUCUUCGUGAAAAGUGAUUUAAUUUCCUGCCAAAAGACGAACGAGAAGAACAUUAGAGUCUAACUAAUGCUCACAUAAAUUUCCCGUAAGAAUAUAUAUAUAAUUAGACUGGAAUGCACACCUCUAGAUUGAACAGAAUUAAAGCUGAGAAAAUAUUGAGUAUAGUAGCCCUCUUUACAGAAAAUGACGCGAAAGUUAAUUUAGAAAAAGAUAUAUUCUUGAUUAAUCCAUUUUCUGAAGUUUUUUAUUUUGUAUGGUCAAUUAUACCUUCAUACUAAAAAUUUCUGAAGUUAUGGGGUUGUUGGAUGUGUUUUGGAUAUUUGCAGCUAAGUUUGAGUUUAUAUCUCAACUUAAAAUUUGUAGUUUUCACUUGAAAAAAUUCAGUUAAAAAUUUAUUGGUAGAAUUGUGAAAAAAGUUAAAAUUUUUAGUUCAACCCGAUUGCAUAUUUAAGAACAUCUCAAAUGAAUUGCUUACUGCUAUCAUCAUCAUUAUUGUCCAUAUAAUAAUGGAUCUUUAUUAUAUAUAUAUAUGUUUCCACUAAAAUAUAUUUAAUUAUUCUUUAUUUUUCCAUUGUUGCGUGUAAGAUUUAUUUGAGUUCUAAGUUAUAUCAAUACAAAUGUUAUCUUAUCCAUAAAAAAGUUAGAUCCAACAAUUAUGAAAAUUACCAUAGAGUUGCUUUCAAUUAUUUUUUAAAAAUACCAGGAGUAAAUAAUAAUUAGUUCAAGUGGUGUAGACUAAAAAGUGUUCACCUUUAUUUUUUAUCUGUUAUUUAUUUAUUUCAUUAAUGCACAUGCUAUACAUUUGAGACACUCCAUCCUAUGCAAUGUGAAUAAAUUUCUUUCCUUUUUCCUUUACUCUUUUUAUUUGACAAUAAAGUUUCCAUCUAUCAUCUAUCAUCUAUCAUCUAUGUACGCAAAAUUUCUGCAACAAGUACAAAACAUAAAAAUAUAUAUGAUUGUUAAGGGAAACACGCAGAAGUUCAUCAUUUCAAUGUUCAGUAUUACCAAUUUUGGCAUUAAGCUUGUACGAAUAUAUUCCACUUAGAAAGCAAAAUAUUAGACUCAUGAUUUUAAUUCAUUCAUUAUCUCUCAUUUUAAUCCCAAAAUAUUCAAGAGUAUCCAAGUUACCAUAAGACUUCAGAGGCUCGAGCCUUAGCCAGAGAUGGUUAAUUGAUAGACUAUGUGCCUGGGUCGAGCACUGGAAGCCUGCAAUGCAGACUGAUUGAUUUAUCAGUUUGACGUGUGCCAGGAAUGAAGAACUGGAAUAUCACCGUCAAGCACGCACCCUGUGGAGCAAUACCAAAGAAUGCACAAUCUGGCUUUGCUAGGUGACACUGGAGGCUUUUUGAAAAGUGCUUCACGCUCACUUGCACAGAUUGAGCAUCCCCUCCGGAUAUUGCCCUCUCUGAUCGAGUCCGAGCACUCAAAUUUCAAUCCUCAGAUGGAGCUACAGCUUUCUCUCCAAUAACCAACAAUUUUCUAAACUCAGCUCCUAGUGUGAUGAGAGUUGUUGAUAUUUGUAAAUGGAGAUCCCCAUAUUUGCAAAUGGAGACAUUUAACAAAUCACCAACAUGCUUCAUUCGGUCUACGAAAUUCUGCAGCUGAUUCAAAUCCGGAACCUGAACCAGAGUCGGAGGUAAAUCUUGAGCCAUAUCUAAAGCAGUCUGAAGUUCAAGUACUUGAGCCCUUGACAAUGGUUUUGAAAUAGGAACAUCUUGGAUUACUGCAGACUUGUACCCCUUGGUUUCAAAGGUAAGGAAAGGCAUUGCUUGAGUACAAUUUGGAGGCAGCUUCUUCACCAAUUUUAUUUGGAGGCGAUUGGCAGCGGAUCCAGCUGCACCAAUUUCAGAGCAAAUACUGACACUACUUCGAACAGCACACUGAAGAAGUGAUAUGUCUACGGCAAAGGCAAUGCAGUCCUCAUUUUGGCUUGAGAUGCAGUAAUCAUCGAAGAGAGUUUCCUUGUGAAACUGGGCAACACAUUGAAUCCCUUCGCCACUGAGAAGGUUGUGGAGGAAGUAAGCUUUCUCUCUAGUGAGGAAGAGGUGGCAUACCUUCCCCAUUUUGUCUAGGGCAGGUAGGAAUCAUUUUUCUAAGAGAUUUACUUCAUUCUCUGUGAGAAAUGAAUUGAACUUCAUCCCUCUGUCUCUAUCCUCACUUAUCAGAAAAUAAGUUGAAAGCACUUCGGAGAGAGAGAGAGAGAGAAUUAAGAUAUAUAGACAAGAAAAAUAUUAGACGUUGAUCUUACAAACUAAUACUUCAAGCAGUAUCCUAGAAAGCUAAAAACUGCAAGAUGGCUUGAAAUUUGAAAAGAGCACGUGCUUUUCCUCCUUAACUUGAGAAAAUGUUUAAUAUAGUGCACCUACAGAAGCAUUUAAGCAAUUAGAACUUUGCACAAAAACAUCAAGAAGACUAAACAAAUCAGAUGCAGUGUAUUUGUCCAAGCACAAAUUGCAUUUUGUCCUCAACUUUAAUAUUUAUUGAUGAGAAUCAAUACAGGUCCCUCAUUUGAUAUAGAAAGCUUUCUUUCUUGUAGUCUCACCAGUUAAUUCACAGGUCUAUAAUCAUCUUGCAAAGUUAAGGGCAUUUCUUUCGAUCUAAAGUCUUUGCAUCACCACCUCAUCACACGCCAAGCCAAUAUUCCAUUUACCUCUACAACAAAAAGUUUUAAGUAAACAAUCCUAAUGCACGCAGCCAAAUAAAAUGCAGUAAGAAUAUUCAACUUAAAAAUCUGAAAGCCGACUUGGUGAAUUGCCUCCUUAGGUGAAGUUCCAUGCUUUACUAUAGUUGACAGAACUCAGCAAAAGCUUCCAUACAACAGAUUUUGAAAAUGAUGAUGCCAAUAGAUACUCAUUCAAUCCAUUGAAAAUCCAAAGGUUCAUUGUUAAUAGAAGUUUACAGAGUUUUGGUCAUCAAAUAGCUCAGACCUAAUCCCAAACAAAAAACGAGUGAAAAUUAGAUCACGAGCAGCUGAUUGUAAAUUCUAACUUAACUCUUCAUCUCCUUUGUAAACAAGAAACAAAAUGGAGACACGCAAAAUGAAUAUGGAGAAAAUUUGAACUCAAAUGAAAUGAGGGCACGAAAGCAAACAAAUGGCAUGCACAAAAAAACCAAGCCUCAAUCAAAAACUAAUUAACCAUUAAGAAAAAAAUUGGUCAGAUAAUGAACUACAAAUUCAGGAGUCAAGCAAGAAGCUUUCAUUAUUUCAGAAGCUCCUGUACAAAUUAAUAAGUUAUGCUCUUUGGAAGCAAACCUAAAUUCCAAGAGAAACAGAACCCAAAAAAUUUGCAAUUAUACGCAAAGGGAGUGAAGCACAGGAUUCUAUCACACAUAGGAAUUGUAUAACAAGAGAUCGAUAUAUCGAAUUAGAAAACUCAAUUCGAAUUUGUGUCAAAAAUCAAAAUUAGAAGAUUUCACAUUUCGAGAGGAACAAGCAACAGAUGAAGUUCAAAAUUUCAGCCAUAACAUGCUAAAAAUGCUACACUUAACGGUUCAUUUUCAUGGAUUUUCUCGGGAAACAAACAGAAAAUUACGGUUUAGAGAUUUGACUGACCUUUUGGCUUUUGAAAUUGAGAAGAUCGCACGCCAAAUUGGAAGAGGGAAAGUGAAAGUGCGAGUUUUAAUAUGGGUAUUAGAUAAGGAAAUUUUAUUAGGUUGCGAGGGUAAAAAAGGAAAGAGAUAUCAUUGUUUUAUUAUCGAUAAUUAUUAAAUUUUUUUCCAAAAAAAAAGAACAAGCAAGGAUAUUUUAUUGUCAUUUGCAACCUUUAAUUUUUUAAAUGCUAUUAGAAACACAAGACAAUAAAGAAAUACUUAUUUUUUUCUAAAACUAAAAUCAAUUGUUUAAAAAAAAUUGUUUCAAAAUUACUUGAGUCAUAUCCAAUGGACCAACAAAGUAAUCGUUUUUAUUUUUAUUGAUUUUUGCAGGAAAUUAAUAACUUAAAAAUACUGAAAGCUAUUGUAAAAAUUUUUAUUAUCAACCUCAUAGUUUUUUUUUUUUUUUUUGGGAAGAGAAUUCAAACUUUUUUUUUUAUGAAUAUCGCUGUUUCGUUUGAGUUGGAUGUGAAUUCAAAUACAAAUAUUCUUUGUUUUUCAAUUCUGAACUCAAUUUCUUUUUUUCAAGAAUGUUAUGCAGAAAUGAUUUUUACUGAACGGCAACAAAUGAAAAGGCUGGGCCAAGUGGAAUGGUGGGUUUCGAGGGUGGAUGCUGUUAAAAUUGAAGCUGAUGAACUUAUCAGAGACGGCUCUCAAGAAAUUGACAAAUUGUGUGUUGGAGGCUACUGUUCUAAGAACUGCACGUCAAGCUACAAGUUCGGGAAACAAGUGGCUAAAAAGCUACGAGAUGUGGAGACUUUAAUCGCUGAAGGAGUUUUUGAGGCGGUGGCUACCGAGGUGGUGCCUGAGAGAGCAGAGCCUGUAGCAGAUGAAAGACCUACCGAGCGAACAGUAGUAGGCUUGCAAUCACAACUUGAACAAGUCUGGAGAUGUCUUGCAGAAGAAUCAGAGGGAAUCAUUGGCCUAUAUGGUAUGGGCGGUGUUGGUAAAACUACAUUACUGACCCAUAUCAACAAUAAAUUUCUCGAGAGUCCAACCAACUUUGAUUGUGUGAUUUGGGUAGUAGUUUCAAAAGACCUGCGACUUGAAAAAAUUCAAGAAGAUAUUGGGAAAAAGAUAGGUUUGGUUGGUGAUUCAUGGAAGAGUAAAAGUGUAGAGGAGAAAGCUGUCGACAUCUUCCGGAGUUUAAGAGAGAAGAGAUUUGUAUUGUUGUUAGAUGAUAUAUGGGAGCGGGUUGAUUUAACAAAGGUGGGCGUUCCACUUCCCGGACCCCAAAAUACUACCUCAAAAGUCGUAUUCACAACCCGUUUCAUCGAUGUUUGUGGUAGCAUGGAAGCUGACAGGAAGUUCCAAGUGGCGUGCUUAUCAGAAAAGGAUGCUUGGGAACUGUUUCGAGAAAAAGUUGGGGAAGAAACUCUUCAGAGUCAUCAUGAUAUCGUUGAGCUAGCCCAAAUUGUGGCCAAAGAGUGUGGUGGUUUGCCACUCGCACUUAUUACUAUUGGUCGAGCUAUGGCCUGCAAAAGGACAGCCGAGGAGUGGAGACACGCAGUUGAAGUGCUAAGAAGAUCAGCUUUUGAGUUUGCAGGUUUGGGAAAAGAGGUAUAUCCUCUAUUAAAGUUUAGCUAUGAUAGUUUGCAGAAUGAGACGAUUAGAUCUUGUUUCUUAUAUUGUUGUUUAUAUCCCGAAGAUUAUGGAAUUCUUAAAUGGGACUUGAUUGAUUGUUGGAUUGGUGAGGGAUUCUUAGAGGAAUCUGACAGGUUUAGUGCAGAAAACCAAGGAUACUACAUUGUGGGCACUCUUGUUCAUGCAUGUUUAUUAGAAGAGUUAGAAGAUGAUAAAGUAAAAAUGCAUGACGUUAUUCGUGAUAUGGCUCUAUGGAUAACCAAUGAAAUUGAGAAGGAGAAGAGAAACUUUUUGGUUCGUGCAGGUGCUGGAUUAAAAGAGGCACCGGAUAUUAAAGGAUGGGAAAAUGUGAGAAGAUUGUCAUUGAUGCAAAACCAAAUUAAAACUCUGUCAGAGGUUCCUUCAUGCCCUCAUCUCCAUACUCUAUUUCUUGCCUCUAAUGAUAAUUUGAGGAUGAUCACAGAUGGCUUCUUUCAAUUUAUGCCUUCUCUCAAAGUUUUGAAGAUGUCAAACUGUGUGGAUUGGCCAGUUUCGAAAUUACCUUUGGCGAUGUCAAAGUUGGGUUCACUACAACUUCUUGAUAUUUCACAUACCGGCAUAGAAGAGUUACCAGAAGAGUUGAAGUUGUUGGUAAAUCUGAAAUGUUUGAAUUUGAGGUGGACAUUUGAGUUAAAUAAAAUUCCAUGGCAACUAAUAUCAAAAUUUUCAAGGUUACGUGUGUUGAGAAUGUUCGCUACUGGCUUUGCCCGUUUUGAUGAAGCAUCAGAAGACAGCGUUUUAUUUGGUGGGGGUGAAGUUUUAGUACAGGAAUUGGUCGGUCUGAAAUAUUUAGAGGUAUUGGAGUUGACCUUGGGAUGUCAUCAUGCUCUCCAAAUUUUUUUGAGAUCAAAUAAGUUAAAAAGUUGUAUUCGAUCUCUUCUCCUCCACUUGGCCGGAGAUACAACGUCGAUUAUCGAUGCUACGGCUUUCGCAGAUCUAAACCACCUCAAUGAAUUAUGGAUUGAUAGGGCUAAGGAGUUGGAAGAAUUGAAGAUUGAUUAUACAGAGAUAGUUCGAAAAAGGCGGGAACCUUUUGUUUUCCGCAGCCUUCACCGUGUUACUAUACAUAGCUGCCAGAAGUUGAAAGAUACGACAUUCCUCGUUUUUGCUCCAAACCUCAAGUCUCUCGAUCUAGACCGUUGCGAUGCUAUGGAAGAAAUAAUCAGCGUCGGAAAAUUUGCUGAGACUCCUGAGAUGAUGGGACAGAUAAGCCCUUUUGAAAAUCUCCAAAUGCUUGAUUUAGAAGAUUUGCCACAUUUGAAGAGCAUCUUCUGGAAGCCAUUGACUUUCACUCAUCUGAAAGAAAUAUCUGUGGGUUAUUGCCGUAAUCUUAAAAAGCUUCCACUCGAUUCCAACAGUGCAAAGGAGCGUAAAUUUGUUAUUCGUGGAGAAGAAGACUGGUGGAACCGACUUCAAUGGGAGAAUGAAGCCACUCAAAUUGCUUUUCGUUCCUGUUUCCAAUCUCUUUUUGAUUAACUCUUAUACAUUUUCUCGUCGUUUGCUUCGUGCAAAAAAGACUACGUCUUUUGUUCUCUGUUUUUAUUUCAGUUUCGUUUGUUGUCUCCUGCAAAUCACAAUUAAAUGUUGAAUUAUAUGGAAGUAACGCUUUAUAAAUUUUCCGGCACUGCCAUUUCUUUUUCCUCUUUUUUUUUUUGGGUCGAAUUGAUGCUCUGGCUUUUUUACUUUUUGUCAUCGAAUUUUGCUCUGUUUUUCAAAUUGAUGCUUGAAUAUGUGAAUUCAAUUAAUGCUCACAUAAUUUUGUUUAGUUGCCGUAAAAAGAAUAUAAUUAGACUGCAAUUCGCACUCCCAGAAUGAAUAGAAUCACAACAGAGAAAAUAUUAAGUAUGCUAGCCCUCUUUACAGAAAAUCAAAUGAAAAUAAAAUUUUUUGGAUAUUUGAUUUUCUAUGGUCUACUAUAUACAGUUUAUAAAUUCUUCUGUUCUAAGGAUAACCAAAUCCUUUGUUCAAGGAUUUUUAUUUGGGGUAUUGAUAAUAGUCCACCAAAAUAGUGAAUGCUUGGAUGCUGCUUAAGGAUCUGUAAUCAAUAAGCUGGAAGCAAACGAGAAGGCGGUCGCUACUCUGUACAAAGCCAUGCAGCAAUUGCUAUUCAUCUUAAAUUCUUAAUAAUUACGAAGCUUUGGUAAAAUUUCCGAACAAAGUUGACAUGUUAUUUUGAGAUUUGGUUCCUGAUUUUGUAUGAAUAUCGCUGUUUCGUUUGAGUUGGAUGUGAAUUCAAAUCCAAAUAUUCUUUGUUUUUCAAUUCUGAAAUCAAUUUCUUUUUCUCAAGAAUGUUAUUCAGAAAUGAUUUUUACUAAAUCAUUUUUGAUGAAUUGUUUAAAUUAAACAAUUGGAAUAAGAAUUGUAACGAUUUAUCAUAAGCGUGCUAAUAUGAUAACUUAUUUUACGAACGAUUAAUUAAUUAAUCAAUUAAUGUUAAAUUAUAUAUUAAUCAAUUAGCUAUGUGUUGCAUUUAUCAUGUUUUGUAGGUGAUUCUACAUAAUUUCUAAAAGAAUAUAGUAAAAACACGUUAAAAAUUAUUUAAUGAAGAAAAUUUUAUUAAAUAGGUGACACAAUAAUAAAUGGAUUUCUGUAAGAAUUGAGAUUCUUGAGAUAAUUAUUACAUAAGGAGAAGUUUAGUUGGUUCAAUUUUGACAUGAUAAGAAGACAACACAGCACAGAAAACCCAAAUUGCCACUUCCACUAAUAAAAGAUACCUGUUUGAAAAGUAAUUAUAAACUAUCUUCUUUGUGUUAUUUCUCAAAACUUUUGUGGCACAAAUGUUAUUUCCAUUGACAACAGUACGAAAUACCACCCCUUUCACUUGAGCAGGAGCAAAGCAAAGGUAUGAUGAGCUAUCUCUGUAUAAUUGAAACGCCAUUACUAAACGAUUCUUGAUGAUGGGAGCCACCGUGCCAGCUUUGUCGCUGAUUUGCAUGAUUUAUUAGUUGUCCAGAUGGCGGAUUUUGUACUGUUACCUUCGUUUCAUUCUUCAGAGCCAUGUACAGUUCUAGGAUACCAGAGAAACCAAGGUGGCAUUGAAGUUGCCCCAGUGGUUAGUUUUCCGAUCAUUUUUUUUAUUCAAUUAUUUAUGUUUGUAGAAAAAUGUAGGAAAUAUGUAGAAAUGUUGACAGCUAUGAUUUUGAAACUUUUGCCUAAAAUUGUUAUCAUUACUUCUUGUUUCUUAUUUAAAGAGAAAUUCUAGAAACAUGAAAUGAUUAUUCUACGCUUGUUUUAAUAUUAUGCUAUGAAGAUUAUGAAGGUUUGAUUAUAUGUCACUAUCAAUUGCCUUAAUCGUUUGUCGUAAAUCAAUUAAGCAUUUUGAUGCAAAUGAUUCCCUAUUAAAAAAUUCAAGUCAGAGCUGAAUUGCAAAUUAGUUAGUCGUGCUUGCCAUUCAAAUUAAGUAUUGUAUUUUCUCCCUGAUUUGGUUGAUUCAACUAUGUGCAUUUGCUUAUGAACGUUGUAGUACAGAAAUUGAAACAUCUUGUCUUUUGCUAAGCCCAGAAGCAAAUUCUUUGUAUUCUACUCAUCAGUUUUCUUCAUUCUCUUCGUUGAAAUUUUAUCCAAACAGCGGUUUCGAAAUUGUUUUCACCACAAUACCUUAGUCUUUCAGAUGCUCCCGUCACUGAGUUGCCAGAAGAGCUAAAAGCCUUGGUAAAUCUUAAGUGUUUGAACCGGAGUACACAAAUUAUCUCUCUACAAUUCCAAAACAACUGAUUUGUUACUUUUCGAUGCUACAUGUUCUGCGAAUAUUCAGUUGUGAUUAUCUUGUUCAAAUACCAGAAAAUAGCGUUCUAUUUAGUGGUAAUGAAUUCUUGGUUUGGGAGUUGCUUAGUUUAAAACGUUUAAAUGUAUUAAGCAUCAUCUUGAAAAGUUUUUCUGCCGUCCAAAAACUUAUGAGCUCCCAAAAGUUUCAAAGCUGUACACAAUGCUUGGAGCAUAUAGGCUGUGAUGAUCCAAAGUCAUUUGCCUUGGCAGAGUUGAAACAUCUUGAAAAACUAGGUUUUUCGAGUUGUGGAAAUUUGGAAGAGUUAAAGUUCUGCUGUGUCGAAGUUGCAAAGGCUCGAGAAUGUUUUCGUUUGAACGGCCCUUGCUGAGUUAAGAUGAAGGCUUGUCAUAAAUUGUGGGAAGCGACAGGUUAUUCAAAUAGAAAAAUGUAUGGAGAUGGAUGUUAAUCUUAAGGUUAUUCAAGCAGACAAAUUCGAAUAAAACUUAUGGUAAGUGCUUUUCCAUUUAUUGCAUAUUUAUAUCUAAUUUUUAUUUUCCUUUAUUGUUAAAUUUUGCUCUAUAUUUGUUGUUGUAUGGUGGCAUUCUUGUACAAUUAUUAGCUUUUCAUUUCUCUUCUCACAUUAACUGCCCUUCUGAUCAUGUAGGAUUUGCUGAUGCAAAGAGUCAUAAUUUGGGAUACAAAUGUAAGAAUUAGACAGAUGACGUGUUGUUUUGAAGCUCUCGAAGAAGAAGGACUAAUUAUGUCAUUGAAAGCCUCCAAUUUUGUGAUUGGUUUCUUUUUAUUUUAUUUGUUGUUUUCUCUAUUUUCAGAUCGCUUAAUUGUUAGUUGUUGUAAUGUAAUGUUUUAGUAUAGAAAAUUAUAUUCGGCCAAGACAGCGAUAGGAAGGCACAUUGUGCAUGCACACUAGUGGAUUUGGCAUGCCAACUCCAAUUAGGAUGGAUAACACUUUAUAAGCAUUAGGCUUCUCUCGUACUUGAGUAAUAUAGAAUAUGUUUAUAAGUUGUGAAUCACCCUUUAUAAGUGUUAGGCUUCUGCUAUACUCAGUGAUGUGAAAUAUAUUUAUAAGCACUAAACUUCUCCCAUACACUUUAUGUUAAAAAUAAUAAUAAUAAUAAUAAUAAUAAUAAAAUAAACCCAUUUUAACAGACUCUUUUUUCUUUUUCUAUAUGAACAAAUGCAUUCUUCAAAGCAAUUGUGGGUAGAAGAAGUGAGUAGAGAAGAACUGGGCCCCUUUCAUUCCCCUAAAACCUCACCAAAACCUCUCUUGUAAGCUUUUCGGAUUUUCUUUCUAUAUUUCUUAGGAACUCAUUUUUUAUUGAAUCACUUCUUUUGCAUGCUGCAUUUUUUGUUUGUCGUAUUUGGGUAUUAUCUUAUCUGGAAUACUGUUAUGAUUGAUGGAACAAGUAAUCGAUUUUUGGUCUAAUGGAAGUUGAUUUAUUUAUUUAUUGUUAUUUUUAUUUGAAAUUAUGUACAAUUGCAUUUCAUUCAUUUCUCUCUCUCUUUUUCUUUUUUUCCCCCCAUAUAUUUGUUAUGUAUAAUUGCGUUUCAUUUAAUAUUGAUCAUACUGUAGGUAACCAUGUGAUUGUAGAUUGGGAUUUCAAGUUUGUUGAAUAUUCAUGUAAGUGAAGUAACCGUCACAAUACUAGUGAAAUUGGGAGCUUUAUUCAUGAGUUUGUGGUUUUGAAAAGAACCACAGUUCAACUGAUGAAGGCUCCUUUUUGGGAUUCUUCUUUUUCUAGGCUGCAAUUAGGAUAUGUACAUGAUAGACAAUCUUUUGUUGGCUUGGCAUAUCUUCGCUGAUUUUUUCUUUUAUUCCCCAAUUUUAUAAUUACACACCAUGAAUGUUGGGUGAUUGUAUAGAAAAUUUGUGUUAUAACAAAAACAUUGUGAAGGAGUUUCCGUGCUAAUAGUUAGUGGCUUCUGUUUUAUUGGCAUUGAUUGGGUAGAUUACGUGUUACAGUGAUUCAAUUUGUGUUCCAAACUUUGCUUUAAUUUUCUGUUUUCCCCAACUAUUUAUGUCAAAUUUAAAUCCAGAAGCAUGUACUGAUUUUUUCUUUUUGUAUUAAUCUGUGAAGUUUAUUUGGAAUGGAAGUAACUGGGUCGGGUCUAAUGGAUUAAAUUAUGACAUUGAGGGGAAGGCACUAAAAGGGUUUGCUUGACACAUUUGGUUCUGUGUUUACUCUGCAAGAAAUAGCUUUUGCUUAUUGCAAUGCAGGGGGAAAUCCCGAUUUGGCUGGUGAAUUUCUCUGCAACAAACAGGCAAACACCUCAACCUCUUCUGUCCAUACUUCUGCUGGGGAGGCAAGGGGUAAAGAGUCUUCAAAAUCAUCAAAUAGUAACAUCUCUGAGAAUUCAUUUUAUGGAAAUGGAAAAUCUAGAGCUUCUAAUACAAAAUGGCAUCUGGUAUCAGGACGUACCGUUUCAAGUUUUCUUGGUAAAGAUUAUGUUAAACCUGCACAGCCAGCUAAUGGCACUUUUCUGGCAUCAAAGCCAUUGAAGUUGGAUCCAAAGGAGUUUCCCAUGUCUGCACUUUGCAGAGAAGAAUCUAAACCGAAACAAUCAAAGGAUGACCAUUUGCAGAAGGACAUGGAAGAUUUUCUGUUUAAAUUUCCAGGAGAAGGGUUCCAGCUGAACAGGGAUGUGAUUCAGGAGGUUCUCGGUAAUGUCUUAAAUAUAUUGAUGCCAAUUUAAUACAUAUUGUCCUUUUCAAUGUUCUUUCUUUCUUUCUUUCUCUUCUUUUAUUCUUCUUCUUCUUCUUUUUUCUUUUCGUGUGCAUGUGAUUGCUAAUUUUGUAUUAUUUUUAACUUGCAGAUAGUUGUGGAUAUGAUAUGCAAAAGGUAAGGACUAUAUCCUCCUGAUAGAGGCCUCUGCUUUUUCCCUUCUAUGUACGUAAUUUAGUAAAUCGCAUAUUCUAUAUAUCAUACCAAAAUCCUGUCUUAAAUGCUGCUGGCAUAUGUUAAGGUUCAACUUGCAUUUUGAUUAACGUCCAUUUGCUACGGCUUCCAAAAUUGAGAAUGAGAUACUUUGGUUAAUUUCAGUAGUUGAACCCAAUAGGGUACUUUAUUUAGAUCUUCAUGGUUCAAAGGCCCGAAAAAACUUGCAGGUAUUUGCAAAAUGACAUUCUGUGCUUUUAUUUAUACUUAUUAUUUAAGUGAUAAAAAUUCCCCAAACCUGCGGUCAAGAAAAUUUCAGACAGUUAAAGACUCCAUUUUGUUUCAGCCAAAAAUGUUUAUUUCAAUUAAAGAUUUGAACCAUUUUCAUUUAACCUGAUUGUGAUGCUUUACAUUGUGCACGUUCCUUUCGAUCAAUAAACGUUGAGGUCAUGAUUUUAUAUUCCUAUAUUGUAACCUAAAAUAAUAGUUGGUUUGCCUGUUUCUGUAGCUUGAUAACAUGAAUUUUCCUUCUGAAGUUACUUUGAUCAAUAAAGUUAUUCUUCGGAGAAGAUAUGCCCAUUCUAUAAUCAUUUUCUUAGCUAAUAUGUUUUUUUCACUCUUCUGAGCAUGUCUAAACUAAUUGAUCGCUCGGCAGAGACUGUGGGUAAGAAAACAAAAUUUCAUGGUAAAUCCUCUUAAAAGGUAUGCAUAAUUGAAAUGACCCGCCCCGAAUUCCCCUCAGGCGAGUCUAUCUAGUCUCAUCAAAACGGACUUGAUAAUAAUUCUAUUAGUAAAGACUCUGCCAAAAAUUCGGCAGAAUUUUUUUUUUUUUAUAUAUAACACUCCCAAUCUACAAAUAUGAAUAUAACACUCCCAAUACAAUUCAGUAUACAACAAACUCCAGUGAUCAACAUCUUCAACCAAAAUGCUGAGCUUUAUAUCUCCAGAGUCUCAAAAGAUAAUAUUAUAACUAAUAUUAAUAUCUUAGUUUAUUCUUAAUCCCAAAAGAAUAAUAUAACAAAAUUAUACAAUCCCAACAGGACGAGAUAACCAAGAUGUCCUAACAAAAAUAUUUAUAUCUUCUAACACCAUCACGUGGCCGAGAUUCAAAAUAUAUUUACAGUCGCUAGGUCGGUCUGGUGUACCUGCAACCUCCUGGUGAGGGGGGAAAAAUAUAAUAAAAACGGGGUGAGUUUAAAACUCAGUGAGAUCAGUGAGUGAAUAGUAGUUUUGAAAAUUAAUUCUUACUUUAAAAAAAAUAAUCGUAUCAUUUCCAAACACAAUUUCAUUAAACCAUAAGCGAGAAACCAAUAAUAAAUCAUUAAACAUUUAAAUCAUAUUACUAACCAUAGAAAUCAUAUCACAAUAUCAUAUAGAAUACACAAAUCUAAAAAUCAUCACCAAACAAGUACCCAGAGAAAUAAUCUCGUCAUAUCCGAACCUCAACAGACGGGCAAUGACGUACUAUCUAGGUAACGUCACACCCCGGAGCUACACGGAUAGACAGGGAAAUACCAUCUCAUAUCUCAUCAUAUAUGUGCAUGCAUAAUCUAGUCCCCAAGGGACAAAAGCGCCCAAGCACACGGCCCAAAGCCUCUGUGUAUACUCAGAGGGACCCCAAAGGCCUAUAUCUCAUAUGUAUCAUAUGUAUCAUUUGUAUCUCAAUUAUCUCAUAUCCGUAUAUCUGUAAUCAUCAUACCGCAUGCAUAUGCCCCCAAAAGGAAAAAGCGUCCAAACACACGGCCCAAAGCCUUUAUAUAUAUUCAGACGGGUCCUAAAAGCCUCUCAUCUCAUCUUAUCUGUAUCACUGUAUCUGAAGGGAAUGGUACUGUCUAAUGAUUUCAAAAACAAUCAUUAUACUCAUAUUCACAUACCUCUUAAUCAUAUUUUAAAUCAUACCACAUUUGAAUCCACUUUUCUUAUCUUUAAAAUACUAUCAUGCUUUAUUCAAAGUCGAUACGCAAAAUCAAUAACCAAACAUUUUAAUAAAAUACCAAUGCGUAAAUAAAAUCCAUUUCGAGAAAUCAUUAAAUCAGAACAUUUAAAAUACUUAUUUCGCAAACAUGCUUUACUAUCAUCGCUAACUAUGAAAAUAAGUUUUGUAUAUUCCACUCACAGUGACGGUGUUCACGGUCGGUUCUCGCUCGCGGAUCCUCCUAAAUCAACGAAACGACAUAAUUAUUUUCCGUAAAUCGGAAUUAUGACUAAAUUUUAUGCAAUAAAUUUAAAACGAACAUAUAUUCAUAAUUGACAACUCCUGUGUCCAUAAAAUUACUAAAAUGCCCUUGAGUCUGUAAAUCAUUAACAUGCUUCGAAAUCGUAAAUUACUGAAUUACUCUCGGAAUCGUAAUUACACUCAAUCCUCAAUUCUAGGAAUUACUAACAUAUCCACGGGCUCAGAAAUUACAAAUUUGCCCUCAUAGUGUGAAAUUACCAAAAACUGGAAUUUGGUCAACACUGGCUAGGAAGCUCAAAUCGUAAAGUUCCAAUCACGCUGAGUUCAAUGGUACCGGCGAUGAUCUCCAACGCGCGGCAACGACGCCGGAAUCUAGCUCGGCAGCCGUGAAUUCCACCAAUCGACCGGCGGCAAAACAGUGACUCUCGGUGCCUAUGGAUGGUCGGAAAUGGAAGAGGGAGUCGUGGGGAACAAAAUUCAACCGGUGGUGUAGCCAAAACCGGCGAAAAUCCCGGCGGAGCAAAGUGAAACAGUCGCGGGUUUCAAGCUUCGAUCGCCGGUGUUCCGAUUGGUUUUUGGCGAGGAGGAUGGCAAGGGAACGACGGCCGGCUUCUAAGCUUCAGAUUGGUACCAAGCUCGGCCGAAACGGUGGCCGGAAAUGGGAGAUAUGGCCGGGUCAAGGUCGCGGGUUCCGGGUCGGGUUUUCGGGUCUGUAGUUGGGUCGGUUUGGCAGCUUCUCUCUCACUCUCUGUUACACGUGCAUAUGUUUCCUCUGUUUCUAGCUUAUUCUUUUGCUUUUACUAACUUCUUAACCGCCUCAUACUUAUUCAUUUUUAAUUCACAUAUGUUACAAUAAUUCCCGAGUAUUAAAUAACCAGUGGUCAUAAUUUUUGUACACGACUCUUUUUUUUUUUGGAGAUCGUUAAAAGUGAUUGACGAUCCAUUUUGUAAUAUCAUAGAGGGAUCAUCAAUUCCUUUUCUUUUCUGUGGCUAGGCAACACUUUUUGGCCAAAGUAAGGAAAUCUAUUUUAGGUAAUGUAAAAACCAGUUGUAGGAUGUAAUAGUUUAUUAUGCACUGACAAUAACUUUUUGUAUAAUUGUCAGUUUAAUGAAUACAAGAGGAACUCUGUUGGCAAAUUCAUCCAAGAUAGAUGCUAAAAUUAUUUAUGCAUGCCAGUUGCCUUAACUAAGUUUUCUCAGCACUGGUUUUGAACAGGAAAAUGAAUAUGCAAUUUGUAGAUUGUGCCAUAGUGGAGAAUUUGUAUAUUCUUAUUUAAGUAACAAGGAGAUUAUUUACCUCAUCUUUAAACAAUGAAUCUUUGAGAGAUGAGGAGUGGGUGAUUGGCUGUGUCUUCAUGUAAUUGUUCAUUUAUUUGUAUUUUGAACUGUUAUGAAAAUCUUUAUAUGCCAAAUUAGUAAUACAAGUAUUCAGAUGAUUUUUCCUAUUGAUCAUGCAUUUGUAUCUGCCCACAACCAUUGUAUAUCACUUUAUUCUGAUGCGCAAGCAUCUGUAAUUUAGAAGAAAAGAAAUAAUAAUCAUAUUUUAUUGCUUGGUUCAUGAUUAUUAACGAUUAUGGCUUUAAAAAUCUACAAAUUUCUUGUGUUCAUGUAUGAAUGUGCCAAGUUUGCUGUAUCUUAGAUUACCUUCUUCCAAGAUAACAAGUUCAUAUAUAUUUUUUUUUAAAAUCCUUUUCCAUUACAGUUGAAUUUCAAGUGUUAGUUUUGUUAUUAGUACCUGGUUUCCUGUUAUUAGGAUCUAAUAAACAGUGUACGGAUAUGUGCUCUACUUUUGGAGGGCCUCCACGUGAAAGAAAAUUGCAACAAUUGAAUUCUUCCGGAGGGUAUGGUAAUUAAUUUAUUUUCUCAACUUGUUGUAAGACUAAUAUAUUUCCUUCAGUAGGCACGGCAUGGUGGGAAGGGUUUUUAUUGAAAGAAUUCUGAUAUUUCUUAGACUUUGUUUUGGAAGGGGGUGGAGGGAUUUCUCAUCCAUAUAUGGUUACUUGAUUAGCUUUUGACUGUAUUGUCUCCGUCGUGCAAAGGAAAAUCUAAAUACUAACGAUGGGGAAUUGCUUAGGCACCCAAAAGGCAGAAAUGAAUUACAGAAGGAAGUUUUUGCUGCUUUAUUUAGUGCUGCUGAGAAAUCUGAUGAAUUUCCUGAAAUUACGGUGAAGACCGAGUGGAGGUCCAAAGCAUUAGGAAAGGUGGUGAGUGAACUGCCGGAGGAAUUAGUACCAGAAUACAAGGCUAAUGUGGUGCACUUGCAGCAAGAUAACCAGACCGGUAUGUGCUCUUAUAUUAACUAUAUUGACUGGAUUUGUUAGUGUGUGCAUUUUUUUGUGUAUACUCACUUUUGUAUUUAUGCAUAUUAACAUGUGUAGGAUUCUUGAUUUCUGCCACUUACUGGAGAACUAGUGGAAAGCUUUAUACUGAUAUAUCUGCAAUAACUAAUGGAAACUAUGAUAUGAAUAUUUUCUCUCACCUGGGGAGCUGUGUAACAGAUAUACUUUGUGGCUCUGGAAUGCUGAAGAUUCUGCAAUAACUAAUGGAAAAUAUGAUAUGAAUAUUUUGUCUCACCUGGAGAACUUUGUUACAGAUACCCUUUGUGGCUCUGGAGUGUCUAAAGAAUGCUUCCGUUAGAUCAAAUAUCUUUUAGUUAGAAAAGAUAAAAUUCUCUGAGUCUGAAAGACUGAAACAUUUUGCAUAUUUUGUGAAAGGGAAAUAUCUGUUGAUACUAGCUCAUGCAUUGAGGUAAUAUCGAUGUUAAAGAAAAACAGCAAUGAUUUAUGAUAUAGAAUUGGGUUCACUUGCUUUAAAUGCUGGUCUGAUCAACCAUAUCAACCUGUAAUGAUUCUGCAGAAAUAUAUAUACAAGGAGAAAGUAGCUAAAUUUUUCUUUCAUUUAUGGGUUCGGUCUUUUUUCCCCUUAUUUUUCAGCUUUCCUUCUCCUGAAGUAUGUUAACAAUUGCAGAUAAUGAUGAAGAGGACAGCUUCCAGGCUCUCCUUGGAGCCAUGAUGGAAUAUAGGGGCACAAUGAAGGAAUAUUGUAAAGCUGUAGGUACUUUUUCUCCUGUCAUUUAUGUUUUCUCACACAUUUUGUAUAUGCCCUGAACAUGCACCUUUGUAUGUAUCAAUUGACUUUUAAAUUUUAAAAGCCAUAAAGUAAGAAUACGGUUCCUUGUCAGGCUACUGAUGACAUUCGCUCAGGGGGAUCAUGUUCGAGCAGGAAAAUUUCUAGAACAGGUAAGGUUUCCAUCUACAGCCAUCCAUUGACAGCAGAUAAAUUUUCAUUCAGCAGACUCUGUUAGCAUUCAAGAUGCUGGCAGAUUCACUUGAUUCUUAUUAGCUUGUUUAGUGGCAAAGCCUAUAACCUGUAUUUCAAAGCCAAGUUGUGCUAUUGAUUAUGUUAACUUUUUUGUUAACAUAAAAUGAUAUGGAGGAAAUAAUCAGUGUUGGAAAAUUAGGUGAAAAGAUGAUGUCAAAUCUUGAACCUCUUGCGAAACUCUAAGUUCUUUACUUGAAGAGGCUACCAAAUUUGAACAGCGUCUACUCGAAGGCCUUGCCAUUCCCUGAUGCAUGCAGAAUUUUUGUAUUUAAAUGCCCAGAGCUUAAGAAGCUGGCACUGGAUCUUGAAGGGGCAGACCAAGGUAAAAUUCUUAUCAAGGGAAAGGAAGAUUGGUGGAAACAACUUAAUGGGAGGAUCAAGUAACUCAGAAUACAUUGCUUCCAUUUUUUAAAUCGACUGACAAGUGAUUGAACGGGGCAUCAUCAAUAUCAUCAACAGGGAUGGAGAGAUGCCGGAGCAGAUCAGCAGGGUUUGAAUAUGACCUUCGGCGGUUGCUUUUUUUUUUUGUGAUUUUUUUUCAUUUUUUCCUUCCUGUCAUUUUAUCAUUUCUUUGGCUCUGUUUCUAUUGCGGGUGUUACUGCAUGCUUACUGUUGCUUGACAAAGUUUGCUAGCUUUUUGUUUGCAGCGCUGCUAUACGCCCCGAGUCAAGCCCCGAAAAUUUAUUAAACGACGCCGUUUCGACAGUAACAAUUCUUUUCUUUUCCCUUUGCCUGUUUCUUUCAUCUGCUGUUUCUCUAUCACUUUUCAUUUUUGAUUUCCGUGCUUCCCAGCUGCCCCUAAAUUGUUAUUCUAGCAAUAUACUUUCUCAUCUUUGAAUUUUCAUCCUUGAGUACUCCCACAGCCGUAAUUUCAUCAUUAUAGACUUCACUUGGAAUGCUAGAUUUUUUCGAUUCUUGAGCUACUUCAAUUACAUCUUAGUAUAGGAUCCUCAUCUUCCUUUAUUUCUUCAUCUUAUGAGGUAACAAAUGGAUUUCACAACUCAUCUACUUUUAAGCAAUUACAUAUUAUACCCUGAAUGAUUCAACUGUUCCGACAGUUAAAGAUUUUAUGCUCAACCUGCAGUGCUACGAACAUUGUCCAUGAAAGAUGAGUUUCAGCAUAUAAAAUGAAAUAUAGAUGUUUAAUCUAAAAUAACCCUUCACUGCCAGAAACCUAGGUCACAAAAUUCACAGAUAAUGAUAAAGAACUAAAAAAUUUGAAAAACUCUACAGAUCACACAUCAAGCAAGAUAUCAUGUUUUUUUCCCUCAUUCGGUGGUGAUUGAUUCGCUUUUUGAUGAUGGAUAUGGUAUAAAAGUUUUGACCCAAUUUCAAGCAAACACAAAUAGAAACACAAACACAAUCAGGACUAGAGUUGUGGGCGAUUAUCUCAGGUGUACAAGUGAAACGGUGGUGGCUGUCGAUGGUGGUAGUGGGGUGGUUGGGUAUGCGUGAUGGCUAGAUUUUAGGACAAUAAUGGUUGGAGUUGACCUCAAUCAACGAAGGAAAGUGACAACAAUUUUGACAUCAAAUGGUGCAUUUUUUAGCUUAGUAAAAUGGAACCGUUUUGAAUUUGGGGUUUAAUCCGGGGUUUGACUCGGUGCAAGUAUCAUUUUCCUUUUGUUUAUUAAAUUUUUUAUGGUCACAAAGUAUUACUCGUUCUAUUUGAGAGUGAUGUGAAUCAAUUUUUCAAUUUUAUAUUUUGUGGUCAAUGUGAAUUCAAUUUCAUUUGUCUCCUGCAAUUAUGAAAAAAUUGCAGUCAUAAUAUGGAAAAGUACACCGGCAAAGACUUUGUAAAACCUUCGGAGUGAUACGGGGAAUUCACUUACAACUAAGGACAAUUGGUGGCAAGUUAUUCCAUUCAUUUUAUGUCCAUGCAUCUAUUUAGUUAUUGAAGAUUAGUGGUCCAUUUGUAAAUUUCAGAUUGUCUCUCUCUCUCUCUCCCACUUGAAAUAACAAUAUUUAAUAUAUCUCUUAAAUUAUUAUAAAUUUUAAUUUACUCUCGAUUUAAAAUGGAGCAUGUCGAUAAAUUUUUUUUCUUCUUAAUAAAAUUGACGUAAUUUGUGUUUACAGUAGUUUGAAGUUUGAAAUAUUUUAAAGAUUAUUAUUCUAUAAGGGAGUAAUAUGAAAUGAAAUUUACUUUUCAUGUGUGAACUGAAAAAGGACGAAGCAAGUGUCCCUGCUUUUAUUUUAUUUCAAGGAGGAGUCAUCUCGCAUACUUUGGCUCUUAACAUUACAUUUUUUCUGGUUACAUUUUUUAUUUUUUUUUACACAUGCGUGUGGGUUGCUUUUCUGUAAGCUCCUUAAUAUAUAUUUAAGACAAAUCAUGGAAGAGAUGGGAUUAUAUCAAGAUGAUCAAAGCAUGUAAAAAAAGAAAAAAGAAAAAAAAAAUUAAGAAGUAAGACACUGAAAAUGGAGAAGAGAUGGAAGCAAAAGAUAUUCCAAAACAAAGCAAUCUAUCCCCCUUCGAGGGCAGACUUAUCAGGUUUAAAAAAGUACAUGCUUUGGAUUGGUAGUUGCAAUCAAGGGAAAAUAAAUAGGAUCCAAUGAAAUUUAAAUCUCGGAGAAAAUAAAUAAUCAUGCAGAUUUUCAAGAUUUUAAUAAGGGAUACUAAUAUCUUAUUUUGAUUAAUAACAUUCUUUUACUGUGUUAACUCAAAAAAAAUAUUAUAAUGCUUUACAAUAAAUACAAAUGUCCUAUUAAAUGAAUAUAUAAAAAAUUUAGAAAAUUAUAUAAAAUAAUUUUAAUAUAAUGCGUGAGAUAUAUUUUAUUAAUUUAAAAUGUCAUUUUACCUAAAAAAUAUGAUAAAUUAAUAAUUACAUAUUUGAAGUUAUUUCAAAUAUUAAAAAAAUUUAAUAUUAUUAAUCUUUUAGAUAGAUUAAAUUAUUUUUUAAAGAGAUAGAUUAAAUUAUUUUAAAAUACCUUAAUUGUUUUUACUUUAAACAUUACCGGCCUUUCUUUUAUUUUAUUACAAAUUAAUGCUAACAAGAAAAAGUUAGAUCAUAUUCCACAAAAGCAAAAGUGACAAACACAACCAGCUGGAAUCUUUUAUAAAACUACAAAUUAAAAUGGAUUUUUUUUUUAAAAAUUGUUAUAAAUUGGUGGCCCCUACAAUCCUCAAUAAUUGCACCGAUAUUCACAAGUUGGUGGCCCCUACAAUUCUGUUCCGAUAAUUUAACUGUGCAAGUGCUUAAUAAUUGUUUUGUUUUUUUCUGCAUUCCCUUUCAUGCUCUUAAUAAUUGAAGAGCAUACUUUUCAAAUGUGGAGCCGCAGCUAAUGUCGCUAAUUUAAUUUUGGAUUAAAUUAGGGGACCAUUAUAUUGUAGUGUGCACUAAUGAAUAUGUGAGAUAUUCAUAUUUUAUUAAUUUAAAAUACCAUUUAACCUAAAGAUUUAUUUAUGAUAAAUUAAUAAUUAUAUUUUUGAAAUUACUUCAAAUAUUAAAAAAUUAAUAUUACUAAUCUGUUAGAUAGAUUAAAUUAUAUAUAUUAUUUUCUAUUUAUUAAAAAAUUAAAAUUAUUUUUAAUUACUAUUCAAAAAAUAUAAUGAUAAAAAAAAUCUUAACAUCUUUAUUAAAAAUUUAAAAAUUUACAUGAUCAAUUCUCUAAAUAUUUAGGGUAUAUGUGAACCACGGUGGAGAAGCUUUAUUUAAUAUUAUUGAUUUAAAUAAUAUGUCAAUUAAAAAUGUACAGAGAAGGAAAUUUCGGUGGGUAUUUUAGUCUUUUCAGCAAUUAUCAUGAUCAGAUCAGCCUUUAGCCUUGAAACGUCGAUCAGAAAAGUUUUAAAAUGCUUAAUUGUUUUUCACUUUUAAAAAUUAAUGCUAACAAGAAAAAGCUAGGUCAUAUUCCACAAAAUCAAAAGUGACAAAACAACCAGCUGGUUUCUUUUACUAAACUACAAAUUAAAAUAGAUUUUUUCGAUAAAUUAUAAAUUAAAGUGGAUUCUUUUGAAUACAAGUGAGACAGACGAUUAGGCUCUUUUUAUUAAAGGCAAGUAAAAACUAGUCAAGAAUCGAAUAGUCUUUUUCAAAUUCUUGUUUUAUUAUUUUUCAAAACUAGUUUUUGGUAAUUACAAUCGGGUCAUUCAUUAAUCAUUAUUCAAAGUUACUGUUAUCUUCGGGGGCAGUGGGUAAAAGAUAAUUACUAACUGUUUUUCCUUCAAAAGUUACCGGCUCAUGUUUGCAAGUGUGAAUGUGCGAUGCUCUUUUCUUAAAGGCAAUUACAGUGGGGCCCGAAUCAGAGGUGCCUAAAUCUUUUUAAAAUUAAUAAUAAUAUGAGUAAUAAUUAAUAAUUACAGUGGGUCAACUUUUGAAAUUAGAGUCUAGUAUCUCUCUCCCUGUCAUUACUAAAUUUUCUCUUCCACAGCCUACAGCAGCUUCAGUUUAUCAAACUCAAUCAAUUUUCUUUCUUAACAAAAUUCCAAAGAUGUGUAGUAUUUUUCAGAUCACAUGCGAUGGUGCUCUUUUCAAUCGUUGCUUGGAUUGCUUUCUUGGAAAAGCAGCAUACAUACGUAACCUCCAAGAUAAUCUUGUAGCCUUGGAGACUGAACUGGGAAGACUAAUCGCAGCAAAGAACGAUGUGAUGAUGAGGGUUGUCCAUGCUGAACGGCAACAAAUGAGAAGGCUGGACGGAGUGCAAGUGUGGGUUUCGAGGGUGGAUUCUGUUAAAACUGGAGCCGACGAACUUAUCACAGACGGCUCUGAAGAAAUUGGCAAAUUAUGUGUUGGAGGCUACUGUUCCAAGAACUGCAGGUCAAGCUACAAAUUCGGAAAACAAGUGGCUAGAAAGCUACGACAUGUGGAGACUUUAAUCGCCGAGGGAGUUUUUGAGGCGGUGGCUACUGAGGUGGUGCCCGAGAGAGCUCCGGAACCUGUAGCAGAUAAAAGACCCAUUGAGCCAACAAUAGUAGGCUUGCAAUCACAACUUGAACAAGUCUGGAGAUGUCUUGCAGAAGAAUCAGCGGGAAUCAUUGGCUUAUAUGGUAUGGGCGGUGUUGGUAAAACCACACUAUUGACCCGUAUCAACAAUAAAUUUCUUGAGAAUCAAAACAACUUUGAUUGUGUGAUUUGGGUCGUAGUUUCAAAAGACCUGCGGCUUGAAAAAAUUCAAGAAGAUAUUGGGAAGAAGAUAGGUCUGUUUGAUGAUUCAUGGAAGAAUAAAAGUUUUGAAGAGAAAGCUGUGGACAUCCUGCGGAGAUUAGGAGAGAAGAGAUUUGUAUUGUUGUUAGAUGAUAUAUGGGAGCGGGUUGAUUUAACAGAAGUGGGCGUUCCACUUCCCAGCCCACAAAAUACUACAUCAAAAGUCGUAUUCACGACCCGUUUCAUUGAUGUUUGUGGUAGCAUGGAAAGUCACAGGAAGUUUAAAGUGGCAUGCUUAUCAGAAGAGGAUGCUUGGGGGCUGUUUCGAGAAAAAGUACGGCAAGAAACUCUUGAGAGUGAUCAUGAGAUCGUUGAGCUAGCCCAAACUGUGGCCAAAGAGUGUGAUGGUUUGCCACUCGCACUUAUUACUAUUGGUCGAGCUAUGGCCUACAGAAAGAAAGCGGAGCAGUGGAGACGCGCAAUUGAAGCGUUAAGAAGAUCAGCUUCAGAGUUUGCAGGUUUGGGAAAAGAGGUGUAUCCUCUUUUAAAAUUCAGCUAUGAUAGUUUGCAGAAUGAUACGGUUAGAUCUUGUUUCUUGUAUUGUUGUUUAUAUCCUGAAGAUUAUGGCAUUCUUAAACGGGACUUGAUUGACUGUUGGAUUGGUGAGGGAUUUUUGGGGGAAUCUGACAGGUUUGGUGCAGAAAACCGAGGAUAUGACAUUUUGGACACUCUUGUUCGUGCAUGUUUAUUAGAAGAGUUAGAAGAUGAUAAAGUAAAAAUGCAUGACGUUAUUCGUGAUAUGGCUAUAUGGAUAACCUGUGAAAUUGAGAAGGAGAAGAGAAAAUUUUUGGUUUGUGCAGGUGCUGGAUUAAAAGAGGCACCGGAUGUUAAAGGAUGGGAAAAUGUGAGAAGAUUGUCAUUGAUGCAAAACCAAAUUGAAACUCUGUCAGAGAUUCCUACAUGCCCUCAUCUCCUCACUUUAUUUCUUGACUUUAAUGAGAAGUUGGAGAUGAUCGCGGAUGGCUUCUUCCAAUUUAUGCCUUCUCUCAAAGUGUUGAGGAUAUCACACUGUGGGCAAUUAGAAGGUUUUCAAUUACCUAUUGGGAUGUCAGAGUUGGGUUCGUCACUAGAACUUCUUGAUAUUUCAUAUACCAGCAUAAGAGAGUUACCAGAAGAGUUAAAGUUGUUGGUAAAUCUGAAAUGUUUGAAUUUGAGUUGGGCACAUAGGUUAUAUAAAAUUCCACGGCAACUAAUAUCAAAUUCUUCAAGGUUACGUGUGUUGAGAAUGUUCGCUACUGGCUAUGUGUGUCUUCAUGAAGCAUCAGAAGACAGCGUUUUAUUUGGUGGGGGUGAAGUUUUAGUACAGGAAUUGCUCGGUUUGAAAUAUUUAGAGGUAUUGGAGUUGACCUUGGGAAGUUAUCAUGCUCUCCAAAUUCUUUUGAGCUCAAAUAAGUUGAAAAGUUGUAUUCGAUCUCUUUUCCUACAGUUGUUCAGAGAUACAACGUCGAUUAUUGAUGCUACGGCUUUCGCAGAUCUAAACCACCUCAAUGAAUUAUGGAUUUAUAGAGGUAGUGAGUUGGAAGAAUUGAAGAUUGAUUAUACGGAGAUAGUACAAAAAAGGAGGGAACCUUUUGUUUUCCGCAGCCUUCACCAUGUUACCAUAUAUAGUUGCACUAAAUUGAAAGAUUCGACAUUCCUCGUUUUUGCUCCAAACCUCAAGUCUCUUCAGCUACUCGAUUGCUAUGCUAUGGAAGAAAUAAUCAGCGUCGGAAAAAUUGCUGAGACUCCUGAGAUGAUGGGACAUAUAAGCCCUUUUGAAAAUCUC
rnacentral:lncRNA from 1 species